rnacentral:lncRNA from 1 species
UACACUAUCAACUAUAGAACACCUUUUCCUUAGAAUCAGAACCAACCCUCACCGUGUAGUUUUUCAUCCUCUGGAAUAUUGCUCGACUAUUUAGAACAGCAGUAAUGAUAACAUUAAGGCCAGGUUCUGUCAGGACAAUGUCGGCAGCACUACGAGCUGCAUCAAUUGCAUCAGCAACAGCUAUGCCAAUGUCUGCUUUCUUUAGAGCGGGAGCAUCAUUGAUACCGUUACCAAUCAUUCCACAUAUAUGUUUCCUAGCUUGCAAACGCUUCACAAUCUCAUAUUUGUGCUCUAUAAAAGAAAUAAGGACAGCCGUGUAAGCAAGGGUUAAAAAAAGAAAUAUGCUACGAUUAAAAUAUAACGAAAAGGUUGUAGGAUGUGGUUAUGCAUACAUCAAGUACAGUUCAAGCUAUACAACGCUGACUUCAGUAUGUGGACGACUACUUAAUGCAAAUUAGGAGAUCAAGCUUUUUACCAGGGAAAACACCAGCAAACCCAUCAGCUUUCUCAAUCAACUCGUCAACUGGUAAAGCAACUAUCGACUCAUCCCUGUCCUGCCCUAAUAAGGCUGAUGAAGGAUACAUGUUGGUUCCCAUUCCAAGACGGCGUCCUGUUUCUUUUGCUAUUGCAAGUUGAUCACCUGACAAAGAGGAAAAGUCAAACAGAUUUAAUAUCCAUCUUAAUGUGAUGAAAACGCCAAUUAAAACAUUCUAAAAAGGUAAAACCAUAAGAGUAUUUAAAUUCCACCAGCAAUGCAAAAGAAAACUGACAUAUAAGCAUUUUUUGAGAUAGAAGGAUUAAACAAAAGCAGAAACAACAAAAUUUCUCUAGAUAUAAAUGGUGCCUAAACAAAGACUAAAUAUUAAGAUUACAAAUUAGGAAGACAUACUACAGUAAAUGGGAGAAGCACCUGUAGUCAUUUUCACGCUCAACUAGGAACACAUAAUACAAUAAAUGGGAGAAGCACCUGUGAUCAUUUUCACGCUCAAUCCAAGAUUCAGUGCCCUUCUUAUUGUUUCUGCACUAUCAUGCCUAGGAGGAUCAAACAAAGGAAUGAGUCCAAUAAAUUGCCAUGGGCUUCCUGAGCUCUCUUUUGAUCCAUCAGGAACUUCCUGAAACCAAAUUAAUAAAUAUAGACUUUGUUAAUACAAAUUGCAAUUGAAGUAAUGCACUGCUAUAGUGGUGUGAAGAUACGACCUAGAACAAUGACAUAGGUAACUCAUAUACCUGAUAUGCCACUGCAAGAGACCGUAAUCCUCGUUCUGCAAACUUAUCAAUCACAGCAUUGAUUCUGCGUCCUAUCUCUGAUUUGUUGUGUACAAGAUUUAAAAUCUGAAAGUCAAAAUAAAAGCAUAAAUUAUAUCAAAUGGCCUUUCAGAAUCCUAGAACAUACUAUUAGUUGUUGACAAUCAUACCUGCUCUGGAGCACCUUUGGUGACCCUAUGCAUUUUACCUUCAGUGUCGAUAUAUGUCAGAGCUGUUCGCUUACCUGUGGGGUCAAAUGGAAGGAAGUGAACUUCUUGGAUAUCAGCCCUUGCCUUGUUUAAGGUCAAAAGCAAAGAAAUCAGUGUCAACAAAAUGAUAAGACGAAAAAUUAAGAAAAUCUUCUACAAGUUGCCUUUGAGAAUACAAAAUUUCAACAACAGUUAAGCUUAGCUAGAGUAAAAUACAUACAUGAAAUUCUAGAAUUCAUAAAUAUACCUUCUUUGGAUCAGCCAACAUUCCUACUAUAGCAGCAUCUAUUACAUCUAGGUUUUCCACUUGGGAGGCUCGAGCUGCCAUCAGAACAACAGUGUCUGCAUCCACUCCUUUAGCAAAGAUCUGAACAAUGAUCCAGGCCAAUUGUUGAAAUACAAAUUGCAAUUCUAAAAGUGAGCAAAAUUUACACCAACCUCAAUUAGAUUCUUGUCAACUGUUAAUUUGUUCAAAGUUAGAGUUCCGGUUUUGUCACAGCAAAGCACAUCCAUGCCUGCCAUUUCGACUAUUGCACUGAUUCUCUUUGUGAUGACACCCUGCAGUAAUAAGCCCAUAUAUGCUUGCAACCAUCAACUAAUGACCACUAAAAGUAACAUCAUUAUAAAUAACAACUAAGACCAACCUGCCGAGACAAUCGUUUGGAACCAAUCGCCAUUGUCACUGAUAAAACAGUAGGCAUGGCGAUAGGAAUUCCUCCAAUAAGAAGCACAAGUAAAUUAUCAAGUCCUGUGCGGUAUUCCCUGUGUUGAACCGCGUACAUGACAAUGAUCUCUAAUAUUAACCCCAGUGCAAUUGAACAUAUGCAGUAUUUUCCAACUGCAGUCAAGAUCUGUAAACAAGCCCGAGAGCAAGAGUUUCGGUGAAUGAUAAUGUGAGAUUGAACAUAAAAACAAGUCUUAAGGAAUGUGAAUUCGCAUUUUCUUGCCUUUUGAAAGUGACCCACUUGAUUUUUGGUAUCCACAAGGUGUACAGCCCUGCCAAGGAAGGUAUGAAUACCAGUGGCAAUGACCACAGCUUGAAUCUCCCCUUGUUUGCACGUAGAGCCUGAAUGUACACAGUCACCAGGGCCCUUACUUACGGGAAUAGACUCGCCUGUGAGAGCAGACUGCAAUGUACAAAUUGAAAGAACUUAAAUUAAAUAGACCAACUUUACCAAAUCAAUGCAAACAUACAAAGAUUGCAAAAGCUCACCUGAUCAAUUUCCAAUGGAUCACCUUCGAGGAGACGAGCAUCAGCAGGAAUAAUGUCACCAAGCUUAACACUAAUGACAUCACCAGGAACAAGAAUGGCUGCAUCUUCCUCCUUCCACCUUCCAUCUCGAAGGACCUGAAAUAAUUUCUCCAAUUACAGGAAUGCCAGAGCCUAGAGCCACAAACUCUUCUUAAAAAGUAUUAUUUUACAAAUUAAUAUGACAUAACAGUUUUUGAUUUCAAUUCUCAUUGAAUUAAGUUGAUAUGAACUUAAUAAUAAACUUGUUAGAUAUGCAUAUGCACUAACUCACCAAUAAUCUUAAUCUGACAACUAUUCGAGUGUAGUCAGUACCUUUGAUUUAGGAGCAAGACGAGCCAUGAGAGCUGCGCUGGCAGCACCUGCAUUGUUCUCCUGAAUGAAACAAACUGUUGAGUUGAUAAGAAGCAGGGUUGUUAUCCCAAUAAAAUCUUGCCAUUCAGGAGGUUUACCCUGCAGCAAUGAAAUUCCCAACAGUAAGAUAUUGCUUACAAAAUGAGCUAAUGAACAUAUUUUCAUUUCCAAAAACAUCAAAUGGAAAACACCAUUUUUUUUUUUUCGAAAACAAAAUUUAAAAAUAUAAUUUGAAAAACAGUAAUCAAUACUCACUCCUCCAUUUGCAAGUACAAUUGCCAUGAUAGCCGCAGCUUCCAUGACCCAUGAGAGAGGGUUCCACAUAAAUCCCAAAAACUUCAAAAUUUUACUUUCCUGCCAAAAAAUGAAUAAAUAAAAAAGUAAAAUAAAAAAAAAAUACAAUAAACAAAAGCAAAAUGUCUUACAAUCAUUAAAAAGGUAUCUUUUUUGAUUAAUAGAACUUUCCCAUAAGAAGCUAACAAGGAUGAAAAAAAAAUGCUAAAUGUAAAACUACCCUUUUCUCCUCAAGCUUGUUGGAGCCAAAUAUGGAAAGUCUCUGCUCAGCAGCCUCCGUCGAAAGGCCCUCUUGAUUGCACUUCAAAGUCUCAAAAACCUCCUGCAUCGCUACGUUUUCCUGCAGACCAAAACCUGAACUUCCUCACAAAACAAAUUACCUAGAAAGCACAAACACUUAAUAACACUGAAGAAAAUGACGAACUCUGUUUCAAUACCAAAUCCACAUCUUCAUUCGUUAUGCUCUCCAUUUCUUCUCAAUAAACUCACUUUCUUCACUUUCGUUAUCUUCCUUCAAACCCCAUAAAAACCAAGUAAUUAAACAAAUCAUGUUAAAACAAAAUCACAGGAAAAAUAAACGAUUGAGAGAGAGAGAGAGUAAAAAACAGAGUAAUAUGUUUUGCUUUCCACCUUUUAAUUUGAGAAAUCUCUUUCUGUAGAGAGAGAAGGAGGGAAUAGUUUUAGUCUCUCGAGAAUCUAUGAGUGGUAGCUUCUAUAAGUGCAAGGUUUCUCUUUAUAUGUCAGUGUGUUCUCUCUCCUCCAUUUUUUUUUUAAUUCUUUAUUUUUACUUGUCCAGUUCAGUUCUCGCGUUCUGUCUUUUCCUUUAAUUUUCUUGCUGGUAACUUAAUCGAGAAGGUGUGUCGAAACAACCCCAUUUUACUUUCCACACUACUGCAUGGCUUUUGCUCUGAAGUCAAUGCAACGAGGAAUUUGUUCAAAAGUCAAGCAUGCAGUUGUUGAGUGAGCCAUCCUACCAUGCAGAUACAGCCCAUGCAUGCAACCGGUACAACCGGUUUUUAACCGGUUAAUAUAAUAAAAAUUACAUUUUUUUUGUUUUGAAUGUGAAAAAAUAGGGAAAAAAGGAUAAAAUUGUAAUUAAAUGAGGAAAAAUAUUGCAAUAAUUUUAAAUUUACAAAAAAUUUAAAAAAACUAGAAAUAUGUCAUAAAAUUGUCAUAUUCCUACUUAUUUUGUCAUAUUUCAAUACAUUAUAUAAUGUAUGUUUCAAGUUUACUUUUCAAAUCUCUAUUUUUUGUAACGAUUUAUCUAAAUUUUGGUAAGUUGUUUCGACUCAUUUUCCCACUAGUUUUUAGUUCUAUAUUUUUACUCUUUUCAUUAAUUUUUAGAUUUUUUAAGUGGAUAUUUCAAGUUUAAUUUCAUAUCUCUACAAUAUGUUAAAUUUUUAUCUAAUUUUUGGUAAAUUAUUCCGAUUUAUUUUUCUACCACUUUUUGGUUCUAUAUUCCUAUUCUUUUUAUUGAAAUUCAACAUUUUAAAUAAAUAUAUCAAGUUUAUCUUUUAGAUCCCUAUAAAUUAUUUCAAUUUUUAAGUUAACUUCUUCGACUCUUGUAAAAACCGUGGCGCGGAACAAUGGUAAGGCUGCUGUUACCGUAGAAGUCCACGCAAAUGGUACGUUGUUCAAACACACACAUGCAGAUGGUGAUAAGAAAACAGCUAAAAACGUUGCAUGCAAAGAAUUGUUGAAUGAGUGAGUAUUCUAGCUUUCCUGGGACUAAGCUUAUGAAUUUUCAGUAGUUGUCAUAUUCUACACUUCUUCUAACAAAAUAGAUUUUUAAACACUAACAAAAGUAACGACAGAGAUAUUUCGAAUUAUAUUUAAAAAUGCAACUACUGAUGGAAGAAUUAAUGCCCGACCCCAAAGACUAAAGAGUAAUUUACCUAAACAGUAAAGAUUUAUAUUACGUUAAUGAUGUUUCCUUGCUAUUCAGAUGCUUCUCAACUUUACCGUCAUUUCUUUUCUUUUGGAUGGUUAUCAUUAGAAUUUUGUAACUCUCACCAUCAAGAGGAUAAAAAAUUUAUAAAGUUGACGUUUGGAACUGUGGAUGGUAGUUGAGUCUUUUAAUUGGUACAUUUUUUAAGGUAUGAAGUUUGAACUUUAUCUUUUAAGGAAUCAGAUAAACGCAAGCAAAUUCUAUUAUAGCUUUUUGAUUACAUCCAAAAAUUGCAGGUUACAUUUUUUUAAUUAUCAAAAAAAUAAUGAAACCCAAAAGUUAAAAAGUCUUCACUAGUAGUUUUCAAGCAACUUUAUCUAAAGGUCAUUCAAAUCUCAAUUCUCAGAUGGUAUGAGGCUAAAAAUUUAAUCUGAAUUUUACCCACCACCUCCCCACUUUUUAGAGGAUACAUACAUACAUACAUAUAUAUAUAUAUAUAUAUAUAUAUAUAUAUAUAUAUAUAUAUAUAUAUAUUUCAAAAUUAUGGUUUGUAUCACAAGUAGUGAGCAUAUAGUGCUUAAACCCAUCAUACUAUUUCUUCAAACACAAAAUGUAGAACUGAAAAACACAACCCAGAUUGGCAAAUAUAUACAUCAGAAAUGCAACUAUAACUCUUUCAGGAUGAAUUGCAUAAUUACUUGUGGGCUAAGGCACUUAUAUCUGCGAUCUCAGCAUAUGUUCCUUGUCCACGAAUGUGUCACGUGCGAUCUGUAUCAGACGGAGUAGGAUUGCAGAAUUGGGUCGAUAUCCAGUCCUUUAAGCCUAAUCAGUGAUUCAACUUGCCCUUUCAGUGUAUGCACUAUGCAGUUCUCUCAAUCUGCAAAAAAUCAAAAUAGUGAAUGCAUAAGAGUGUACAUUCCAAGCAAUAAAUUUCAGCUCUUAAAGAGUAGAAAUAAAGUAAUGUAAUUUCCUGGCAUUAUAUUUAUAUGUUUACCUAGCAAUCUCAGCUCUUCUUAUUGCUUCUUCAGCCAUCCGGCUGAGUUCUCCGUAACUGCUUUCUACACUGAACAUGCUGGUGUCACGCGGGUGCAACCCAUGGAGGGUUCUCUGCUCCUGUGCCCAUCGACGCUCAUGUUCUUCUUUUCCGAAAUCUCUUUUAGUUGUGAAGGCAGUCUGCAAAAUAGGAAUUACACUAUGGAGAGUGAGCAAGAAAUUAAGGUCCAGCACUUGAAUAAAAUUUGUUGAACUCGAGCCAUCAAUACCCUUUGUUCAAUGACAAGAUCCCAAAAAUUCCUGCUGAGCACAUAUCGGAUGAAGAACUUUAUAAAAUCAAGCAGAAUGUAGAAGAUAAUAUUAUAAAGCCAAAUCACACCAGCCCAACCCCAUCCUAUUCCUUCAAUUGUAGCAAAGCUCCAGGUUGCAUAGACGGCAAUCAGUGUAGCAGUCUGCUCACAGAAUCAAAAAGGAUCAACUCAUCCUCUAUAUGUCAGAAAGGCCAAAAGGAAACAGCAUUUAUCACUCACCAGCUGAGCAACACAGAAAGCCAGAGCAAGAAACAGGACAGGACACUUGACGUAAGACCAACUCCUUGCAUGUGUCACGAAUAGGUGGGCCUGACUGAUGGAACUCACUUGCAGGUAUACUGCCGAGGCAAGUUUUCUCCAGUCGUCCACAUUCUUUUUGUUAAGACUUGAAACGCCAAAUGUACGCUGAAUGUUGAAGACAAUGUAAAGGCAUACAUUAUUCUCUAUAUUAUUAAAUCAAGGAAAACGAGCUUACAUAACACCCGAAUUGGGUGGCAUGAUAAAACAAAAGAUAAAUCACAUUACUGGAAAGAAGUCUGUCUUGUAUGCUGUCCAAAAGAAAAUCACAGUCAUCAUUGCCAAGUAACCACCAAGAAUGCUUCCAGUUACAAAGAUCUAGGUCAAAUUCCACUUUUCUGGAUGAGGAGAUGGUCUGACUCUAUCUUUUGAUAUUGUCAUAAUAAUAGCACCUGGCAAUCAAUGUACCGGGUAAAUAUCAAUAGACAAGUAUAUUUCUUAUUUGAAAUCAAUACACCUGGAUGAAAAGGAAUACAAACAGUUACGAUAUACAUGAUGAGUCAAGGAAAUACAAACCAUCAUUAAGAAUAGCAAUUAUCAGGACCAUGAAGGAUGGAAAGUUAAACUGCAAGAUGAGCGCUAGCAGCCUGAAACCAACUGUCACCAAGAGAAACAGUUAAGAUGUCAAGCUGAGAUAUUCAAGCUACUUUUGUGAAGACUCUUUCAUAUUCAUCAGCAGGGCAAUAAUUACUAUAGAAGAUUAAAGUUGCAAUUACCAAAUAAAUUACACAAUACUCUCCUACAUGGUAUUUGAAACAAGCAGCAAACAACUUACUCCAAAAUGGAUGGUAAUGGAGACUGCAUAUCUCUGCGACAAGAAAGAAAUUAGUUAAGCAUCAAAAAGAGGGGAGAUAGCAAGAAGGAAUCGACUAAUUCAAGUUAAAAAUGCUCGUGUUCUUGUUUCAAUUUUGCAAAACUCUGAGACACUGUAAAGAAGUUACCAAUGCCCACAAAAAUCAAGUUUUCAUGAACAGCACCACCACCAAUGUCUUGGUUUAUUAUCUUAUUUAUUAUUAUUUUACCUCAGGCUCUAAAAGUAGUUUACAGAAAAAUGACAUGUUAUGUCAAUCUGAGUGCUUUCUUCACCACCAGGCACUCAAGCAGUGUAAAAUGGAAGCUUUAAAAUUAUUAGUUUGUUUGUAGGUUAAGGAAUGUGGAAUAGAUAGAAUUACAUGGGUUGUGUAUUCCCUCACACAAAUCCCAUCCUUCACUACACUAUUGACUACAAAACACCUUUUCCUUAGAAUCAAAACCAACCAUCACCGUGUAACUUCUCAUCCUCUGGAGUAUUGCUCGACUAUUUAGAACGGCAGUAAUGAUAACAUUAAGGCCAGGUUCUGUCAGGACAAUGUCGGCAGCACUACGAGCUGCAUCAGUUGCAUCAGCAACAGCUAUGCCAAUGUCUGCUUUCUUUAGAGCGGGAGCAUCAUUGACACCGUUACCGAUCAUUGGACAUAUAUGGUUCCUAGCUUGCAAAUGCUUCACAAUCUCAUAUUUGUGCUCUAUAAACAAAAUAAGGACAGCCGUGUAAACAAGGGAAAAAAAAAAAAGGAAAUAUGCUAUGAUCAAAAUAUAGUGAAAAGAUUGUAGGAUGCAGUCAUGCAUACAUCAAGUUCAAUAAAAGCUAUACAACACUGACUUCAGUAUGUGGACGACUACUUAAUGCAAAUUAGGAGAUCGAGCUUCAUACCAGGGAAAACACCAGCAAACCCAUCAGCUUUCUCAAUCAACUUGUCAACUGGUAACGCAACUAUCGACUCAUCUCUGUCCUGCCUGAAUAAGGCUGAUGAAGGAUACAUGUUGGUUCCCAUCCUGUUUCUUUUCCUAUUGCAAGUUGAUCACCUGAGAAAGCGGGAAAGUCAAACAGAUGGAAUAUCUAUCUUCAUGUAAAGAAAACGCCAAUUAAAACAUUCUUAAAAAGGUAAAACCAUAAUAGUAUUUAAAUUCCACCCGCAAUGCAAAAGAAAACUGACAUAUAAGCAUUUUUUCAGAUAGAAGGAUUAGACAAAACCAGAAGCAACAAAAUUUCUCUAGAUAUAAAUAGUGCCUAAACAAAGACUAAAUAUUAAGAUCACAAAUUAGGAAGACUUAGUACAAUAAAUGGGAGAAGCACCUGUGAUUGUUUUCACGCUCAACUAGGAAGACAUAAUACAAUAAAUGGGAGAAGCACCUGUGAUCAUUUUCAUGCUCAACCCAAGACUCAGUGCUCUUCUUAUUGUUUCUGCACUAUCAUGUAUAGGAGGAUCAAACAAAGGAAUGAGUCCAAUAUAAUGCCAUGGGCUUCCUGAGCUCUCUUUUGAUCGUUCAGGAACUCCCUGAAACCAAAUUAAUAAAUAUAGACUUUGUUAAUACAAAUUACUAUUGAUGCAAUGCACCACUAUAGUGAUGUAAAGAUAGGACCUAGAACAAUGACAUAGGUAAUUCAUAUACCUGAUAUGCCACUGCAAGAGAUCGUAAUCCUCUUUCUGCAAAUUUAUUAAUCACGGCAUUGACUCUGCGUCGUAUCUCUGAUGUGUACAAGGUUUAAAAUCUGAAAGUCAAAAUAAAAGAAAGCAUAACUUACAUCAAAUGGCAUUUCAGAAUCCUGGAAGGUACUAUUAGUUGUUGACAAUCACACCUGCUCUGGAGCACCUUUGGUAACCCUAUGCAUUUUACCUUCACUGUCGAUAUAUGUCAGAGCUGUUCGCUUACCUGUGGGGUCAAAUGGAAGGAAGUGAACUUCUUGGAUAUCAGCCCUUGCCUUGUUUAUGGUCAAAAUAAAAGAAAUCAAUGUCAACAAACUGAUAAGAUGAAAAACUAAGAAAAUCUUCUUCAAGUUGCCUUUGAGAAUACAGAAAUUUCAACAGCAGUUGAGCUUAACUAGAUUAAAAUACAUACAUGAAAUUCUAGAAUUCAUAAAUAUACCUUCUUUGGAUCAACCAACAUUCCUGCUACAGCAGCAUCUAUUACAUCUAGGUUUUCCACUUGGGAGGCUCGAGCUGCCAUCAGAACAACAGUGUCUACAUCCACUCCUCUAGCAAAGAUCUGAACAAUGAUCCAGGCCAAAUGUUGAAGUACACAUGGCAAUUCUGAAAGUGAGAAAAAUUUAUACCAACCUCAAUUAGAUUCUUGUCAAUUGUUGAUUUGUUCAAAGUUAGAGUUCCGGUUUUGUCACAGCAGAGCACAUCCAUGCCUGCCAUAUCAACUAUUGCACUUAUUCUCUUUGUGAUAACUCCCUGCAGUAAUUAGCCCAUUUAUGCUUGCAAUCAUCAACUAAUGACCACUAAAAGUAACAUCAUUAUAAAUAACAACUAAGACCAACCUGCCGAGACAAUCGUUUGGAACCAAUCGCCAUUGUCACUGAUAAAACAGUAGGCAUGGCGAUAGGAAUUCCUCCAAUAAGAAGCACAAGUAAAUUAUCAAGUCCUGUGCGGUAUUCCCUGUGUUGAACCGCGUACAUGACAAUGAUCUCUAAUAUUAACCCCAGUGCAAUUGAACAUAUGCAGUAUUUUCCAACUGCAGUCAAGAUCUGUAAACAAGCCCGAGAGCAAGAGUUUCGGUGAAUGAUAAUGUGAGAUUGAACAUAAAAACAAGUCUUAAGGAAUGUGAAUUCGCAUUUUCUUACCUUUUGAAAGUGACCCACUUGAUUUGUGGUAUCCACAAGAUGUACAGCUCUGCCAAGGAAGGUGUGAACACUAGUGGCAAUGACCACAGCUUGAAUCUCCCUUGUUUGCACGUAGAGCCUGAAUGUACACAGUCACCAGGACCCUUACUUACGGGAAUAGACUCGCCUGUGAGAGCAGACUGCAACGUACAAAUUGAAAGAACUUAAAUUAAAUAGACCAACUUUACCAAAUCAAUGCAAACAUACAAAGAUUGCAAAAGCUCACCUGAUCAAUUUCCAAUGGAUCACCUUCGAGGAGACGAGCAUCAGCAGGAAUAAUGUCACCAAGCUUAACACUAAUGACAUCACCAGGAACAAGAAUGGCUGCAUCUUCCUCCUUCCACCUUCCAUCUCGAAGGACCUGAAAUAAUUUCUCCAAUUACAAAGUAUUAUUUUUCAAAUAAUUUCCACAAACUCUUCUUACAAAGUAUUAUUUUACAAAUUAAUAUGACAUGACAGUUUUUGAUUCCAAUUCUCAUUGAGUUAAGUUGAUAUGAAGUUCAUAAUAAACUUAUUAGAUAUGCACAUGCACUAACUUACCAAUAAUCUUAACCUGACAACUAUUCAAGUGUAGUCAGUACCUUAGCUUUAGGAGCAAGAUGAGCCAUGAGAGCUGCGCUGGCAGCACCUGCAUUGUUCUCCUGAAUGAAACAAACCGUUGAAUUGAUAAGAAGCAGGGUUGUUUACCCUGCAACAAUGAAGUUCCCAACAGUAAGGAUUAAAUUUAAUGAAGCCUAAAUUCCUUUGUUGAAAUAUAUUUCCAUUUUGCUAUUUAUACUUCUUCAAAUUCCUUUCUCGGAAUAUAGGUAAAUAAGCUAUUCCCAUCUAAUCUAAAUUUUAUGUAAUUGCCUCGAUUAUUCAUUUGUUAAAUUUUUUAAAAAUAAAAUUAUUAAGUUGUAAGGUUUGUUUGGUAACUAACUGAGAAUAAGACAAAAAGAAAGGUAUGAGAUUGAAUCAAAUGAAAUUUUUGAUAAUCUAUUUUGCUUAAUUUUUUGUUUACUAAUUUUUGUUUGAGGAUUAAUUGUAGGUAAAUGAAUUUAAACGAAUUCAACUUGGCUGCAAAUUAUGUUAAAUCAAUAUCUACUUAUUAAACGAAUCUAACUCCAAAUCUAUCUAAUAAAUGGUCUAAUUUAAAUCCAUCGAAUUUUGAUGAAAUUCGUUUUGACACCCCAAAAUGAAUAUGCUUUGAAAAUUGAUAGUGGCCGCAAGCAAGGAGAUCCUAUAUCCUGAAAGAAGGUGGAUUUGACAUGAGGUAAUUUCAAAAGAUAAAAAGAUAUUCUGCGAAGCAUUUUCGAAAAUUCUUAAGACCACGAGGCUGUUUCAAUAAUUUAUAUUGAAAAAUUUCGUCAAAACUCAAUUGAGCCUCGUGACCCACUUCGCCCCAGUGUUAUCUGGUCAAAAUUUCUUCAGAAUUUCAGAGGUCUUUUAUCUAUCUGGUCUAUUCAAGUUUGUACUUUCUUUUUCUCUGAUCCUGUUGAACCAAAAUGUUAAGGAUUUGUAUACGUGAACAGCUUUAAAAUACAGUAUUCUUUCGUAACUAUACGAUUAGAGUUAUAAUAAAUUUUUUAUUACUUAUCACUUUACGUGUAUAUUUAUAAUUUGUGUUCUACCUUAGAGUAGCUCCAAGGUAGUCAUAGUCAAAUGUUAAUUCUGGAAUUGAUUCUUGUAUCACUAAGUAAUCUUGUACAAUAAAACUUAAAUUCUUAGCCUGCGUACAUAAUGAAUAAUGAGAAAUUUGUGUGUUCAUGCUACAAUGGCUACUUGAUUAUUACAAAUGACCUAAUUAUCUUCUUCUUCUUCUCUUUCUUCUAAAAAUAAUAAUUAUAAAAUUUAAAAAAAAUGACAAUUCACUUGUCACCCAGCUACCACUGGUUUACAAUAAUAAAAAAAAUUACAAGCUUUAGAAUGAAUAAUAUCUCUAAAUUUAAUUAUUGCAUGUAAUUAUUUUGGGCAAUAGCGCAUUAAUAUGUUAUAGGAACAAAUUAUGAAAUUAGUAAAUACGCAACCCAAAAAAAAAAAAAUCAACAAAAUUGAUGCCAAAUUUAUAUUUGUACGAUGCUAUUAUUGAAAAACAACUUUAUCCCUAACACUUUUUCAAAGCUUUUCAUAUCCUUGCAUAAAUUAUCAAAUGCGUUUUUAGCUAAAGUUCAUUUUUAGAUAUUGUUUACAAAAUGAGCUAUUAAAUAUAUUUUCAUUUCCGAAAACAUCAAAUAGAAAACACCAUUUUUUUUUCUAAAACAAAUUUUAAAAAUAUAAUUUGAAAACCAGUACUUAAUACUCACUCCUCCAUUUGCAAGUACGAUUGCCAUGAUAGCUGCAGCUUCCAUGACCCAUGAGAGAGGGUUCCACAUAAAUCCCAAAAACUUCAAAAUUUUACUUUCCUGCCAAAUAAUAAUAAUAAUAAAAAAAGUAAAAAAAAAAACAAUCAACAAAAGCAAAAUGUCUUAAAAUCAUUAAAAAUGUAUCUUUUUUUUUUUUUAAUUAAUAGAACUUUCCAAUAAGAAAGCUAACAAGGAAAAAAAAAAUGACAAAAGUAAAAAUAUGGAAAGUCUCUGCUCGGCUACCUCCGAUGAAAGGCCCUCUUGAUUGCACUUCAAAGUCUCAAAAACCUCUUGCAUCGCUGCGUUUUCCUGCAGACCAAAACUUGAACUUCCUUACAAAACAAAAUACCUAGAAAGCAAAAACACUUAACAACACAGAAGAAAAUGACAACGCUCUCAUGAUUUGACGAAAUAGUCAUAGACAUGCCCUUAUGUUUAGAAACUGUCACAUAAGAUAAUUUUUUAGAUAAUUUUUUUCGGAUAAAAUUUAGUCCGGUUAUUAUAAUCAAAUAACAUAAUUGUCGUAAAAGAGAUCUAUGAGUCUAUGUGAUGAUUUUUCAAAAUAAAAAGAUCACCGUGACUGUAUCUUGUCAAGCCAUAGGGGUGUUGGUGUCUUUUUUUUUUUCUUAAUUGUAAACUCAACAUGAAAAUGCAAAAAAUAGUAACAAAAACAAUCAAGAACAGAGAGGACAAUCUCUGUUUCAAUACCAAAUCCAUAACUUCAUGCAUGCUAUCAUUUCUUCUCAAAAAAAUCACUUGCUUCCUUCAAACUCUUAAAAACCAAGUAAUUAAACAAAUCAUGUUAAAACAAAAUCACAGAAAAAAAAUGAUGAAAAGAGAGAGAGAGAGACUCAAAAACAGAGUAAUGUGUUUUGCUUUUCACCUUUUAAUUUGAGAAAUUCUUUGUUUGUAGAGAGAGAAGGAGAGAAUAGUUUUAAUCUCUCUCUCUCUAGAAUCUAUAAGCGGCAGCUUCUUUAAGUGCAAGGUUUCUUCUUGUGUCUGUAUGUUCUCUCUUUCCUUCAUUUUUAUAAUUUUUUUAUUUUUAUUUGUCUAGUUCAGUACGUAAGUAGUUUGAUGUUGAUAAAUUGUUAGCAUGUUCUGUCUUUUCCUUUUAUUUUGUUUAAGUAAAGUAUCUCUGCAUGGCAAGGCCGGCUUUUUUGCCCUGAAGCCAAUGCAAUAAGGAAUUAUUUAGGGCUCCAUUUUGUAAUAAGAAGAUAAUUUUUCUUACGUGUGAAACAAAAUAUUCAGGACAAGUGUGAGGAAAACAUAAAUCACAACAUUCUAAUUCAAUUUAUGCAGCGGGUGCACUGUGGAUUCAGUUAUGAUAUUUGUGAUGGCUUUUUAUAUAUAUCUUAUUGUGAUAAGUAGUUAUUAGAUAAAAAAAAAAAACAUGUAAGUUAAUGUUAACUCUACAUAAAACGCAUGCGAAAUGGUAUAAACUUGGAUCCGAUUUAGUAAUAAGCUUAACUGGUAUAAUCUUUUGGGAUGACAUAAAAAGCCUAAAGUUCAAACUCUAUUGGGUGAGGAAGAAACUAAACUAUCGUUAAACCUAUAAAAUAGACAAUCUACUAGAAAAUAUGCACUCGAAGUCACUACCCAUUCUAAAGAGUUAAAAAGCUUUACGUGAGAUUGUAGUUAGAAGUUCAGCAAUUCAUGAGGUUGUUAGAGGCUAUAUAAAGUUAUGUGAAGAUGCUAAUUUGAUUAGGUGUGCGGGGGUAGCAAAACUAAUAAAAAAAUCAAAUUCAAAUAGAAUUAUAAAUGAAUUGAGUCAACAUUCUACUGAUUUAAAUUCGAUUUGUUUAUUAAACAAAUUGAAAUCACUAUUAGAAAAAUGACAUUCACUGAUACUAGAUUCCUGAUAUUAAAUAAAAAAAAGUAUCAAUAUUUGAUGACCUAAGCAACUUUUAAUGUGUUUUACAUAUUAGUGCCAGUGGUUAUUGAUAGGCAAAGCUUACGUUACAUAUAAUGUAACAAACAACCAAUGAAUAUAGACCAUUGAUUUUGAUAUUCCUUAAAUCUAAUGGAUAAAAAUAAUUUUAACAUAAAACAAAGUACAGGUGAAAUAAAUAUUUACAGAAAAUUUUAUUUCUAAUCAUAUGUUUACUUAUUUUUUCAAAUAAGUCCUCAUUGAUUUUUUAUACUUAAAUGAUUUUUUCAUCCAUCUUUUCUACAUUUAUUUUUAAAACUUUAUAAAGUUUUUACAACAUUUUUAUAAAGAUUUAAAUGAUUAUUAUAUUCAUAAAGAUCCACAAAUUUUGAAUAUAUUUUUGCACUUACAUUUAUAAUUUCUUGUCUCUCUUGAGACAUAAACUAAUUUUUUCUUCUAACACACACACACAUUCAAUCUAUUUUCCUUCUUAAAUACAUAUUAUCAAUGCCAUCACACAGAUUUUGUAAUCUAAAUUUAGUAUCAUGAAUUAUAAGAGAUAUUAUAUGUAAUAAAUAUCUUAUAAAUCUAAUGAAUUAUUAAAAAGAUGGUACAAUGAAUAAAUUACCAAAGCCUCUAAUAAAAAGAUUCCAAUUCUUUGAUCUUAUCAAUGAUUCAAACAUAUGGAGAAAUAAUCAAUUAAAUUGAAUGUCACUAUAUUUAUUAAAUAAAUUAGAAAAUCUAAAUUUAUCUAUAAAUGAUAUAGAAAUGGUAAACAAAAUAUUAGAAAUUAAUAAUUUCAAUGAAGGAAUAUAAAAUAAAUUAAAAAGUUAAGAGAUCAAGUGAUCAACUAAGUAAAGAAUUUAAUAAAGUUAAACAAUUCAUAAAAGACUUCAACAUUAAAAAUCAUGAUAUAUUAAACCAAGAGAUUAUUAAUAUAAUGAAUAAAAACUCAAUAGAUAUAAAAUUAAACAAGUUAAAGAUUUAAUUAAAUAAAUCGAAAAAAUUAUUGAGCAGUUUGAUACUAACUUUGCAAUAAAUAUAAAUGAAGAACUUCAAAAAAAUUGAAAUAUUGCAACUUGGGUGUAAACAACCUGGAGUAUAAAUAACCUGGGAUAUAAUGUAAAACAUUAAAACUUAUUGACCUUUUUAAUAAUAAUUAUUUUUUCUAAGGGUUUAAAAAUUUAUAACUGUAACAUACAGCUAAUGUAACACAAGCUUUGCCUUAUUGAUAAUAUAGUAUCAUAAACUUUUACUGAUACUAGAUAUAUAUUUUUAAUUUUAAUUUUAAUUUUUUUUAUUCUAAACGACGUAGUUUUACUUUUAAAAUUAGGUAAUCUUAAAUUCAACACUUGUGAAAAUAUUUGGCCCUUAACGAAAGUACUAUUCCCUCUUCAUCUUCCCUCUCUCCUAAAUCCUUCCCACUCAUUUCAAGAAACCCUAAAUUGAAACAAAACAAAUUACCCAGCCUUUUCAGUCUUAACAAAACAAUUACUCUCAGUCUCCCAACAAAAUAAAAUCAUCCUCCUCCUCACCAACAUUUCCAUUUCCUGCUUUUCUCUAGUUUUACUUUAUGAAGCGUAUGGGUCUUCAUUCUUCGGUCACCACCGAAGAAAACCAAAGGAUGAAAAAAGUCAAACAAGAUGAGGAGGAAUAAGAAAGAGCAAGAGCAAGUCAAAGAAACUGGCUUCACAAAUCUAGAUGAGAACUCCCUGUUCGAGGUGUUGAAACACGUAGACACCAGGACUUUGUUGCGGGCGGCUUGCGUAAACAAGCUAUGGCACAAGACACUCAAAAUGAGCACCUUUGGGAGUUAAUUUGCACCCACCACUUCGCUAAUGUUGGGUGCACUACCCAAUGUUGUGAAAAUUUUAAUAUACUCGCAAGCGCACGAAUCUAGAAAUAAAAUAGUAGUAACGAGAUCGAUCCCACAUGGAUUGUUAUAAAUUGAAAAGUCUAAUUUAAAUCUAAAAUUAAUAUUAAUCCUAACCUAGUUAAAUAAAUUGAGUUUUAAGAGAAAUUAAACUAAUUAAACUAAGGAAGCAAUUAAAAUAAAGGAGAAUUCAAUAAGAUAAGAAUUACUAAGGUUUCAGAAUCCACCACUAUUCAACUAGUAAUUAUCUAAAUAUUCAUUAAUCCCCAAUUUUAGAGUGACAACUCGAAAUCAAUCUAUGUCAUCUCAUGGAUAUAACAAUUAAGUCCAAGUAAUUAAAUCUAAUGUAGGCUCUUUUUCUGCUUAAUAAUAUGACAUCUAAGCAUCCCAUGUAAACAUAUUGAAUAACAAAGAGUCAAAGUUUUCCUAAGCACUCUAUGCAAAAAAUUUAAUGAAAGACAUAAAAUUAAAGAUAAUCAUGUAUAAACUUUAUAGAUCCAAACAUAGAAUUAAUUGAAUAUUAAUCCUAACAAUCAAUACUGCAUGACAGAAUUGAUGAAAAGAUUUUAAUAACAUCCAAUUAAUCAUGUGAAAUAAAAACCAUAAACAUUAAAAUACAUAUAUAGAGAAUUAAAUAAAUAAAAAGAUAAUUAUUUCAUUGAAUAAGGUUUCAUCUUUAACCUCAGUAUAAGAAAAUUAGCUAGACAUACUUAAAUUAAGAGAAACAAAAGAAAUAAAUCCAGCCAUAGAAGUCGAACUACUGCAGAUUUUCUUCUCUGUCUCGCGUUUUUCCUCCUCUGGCCGCCCUUCUCUCCAAAAGCCAAAACUCCCUUUUAUAAUCUUUAAAAUGGGCCCCACCUCUUAAAUCCUAAAGCCAAAAGACUUGGCAUUUUACUUGAUUUGCUCUCACACGUGCUCACUCUUAAAAUUGCUUUAGGAUUCCUUUUGUAAUUAUGAAAGCCAAGUGUGGGUCCCUUUAAAUUGCUUCCAAAUAUUAGAAUGCCAUGCAUUUGCUUCUCACGUGCUGGCCACUUUAGCUUUAAAUUUCUUCUUUGUUUGCACUAGCAUGGAGAAUUCACUUGAUUGGCUUCGGCUUCUUCGGAUUGAAUUUCAUACACAUCUAUUUAAUUGCUCCCACAAAUUGACUUGAUCUUUAAUGCUGUCCAUUUUCUUCUCUGUCUCGGCUAAUGCUACAAUGCCGGGCAUUAAAGCCCCAGCACCAUGCCGGAAUUGGAAAAAAACCGUUGGAUUCAAUCUAAUUGAAUCCAACGGUUGAGAUUAAAUUUAUAUUAAAAAUAGAAAUAAAUGGGUUACCUGGUAAACCGGUUCCCUCAAAAGAAAAUUCCACAAUUUUCUCUCACCUCAAUCUAAUUUCUUUGCUCUCUCAGAAAAGAAAUCCCUAAAAUCUCAUCUCUCUUUCAAAUUCAUAGUUUCUCUCAUCCUGAUUUUUUCACUCAUCAUCUAAGAUCAAAUCCACCGUCUCUCUCACACUAAUCAACCAAUCGGAUCCAUCUACCUAGGUAUUUGGUUUGUACAUGAGAGCUAGAGAGAGGCAGAGCCAGUAUCGUGUCCGCUGCUUCUUUUCUAACCAUCCACCGUUACCUUCGUUGCACUGUUGUCUACACCAUUAGUUCUUUAGCCUUUACUGUCGUCGUCCUGGCGUUCGCCGGAAUCAUUGCCCCGUGAGCUGCCCCAAGUUGCCAUCGAAAACACUCAAAACAAGUUAAUUUUUUGAGGUUUGGUUUUUAAGUGUUAUUUUUCUAUGGGUACCCUAAUUUUUUCUUGUUUGGUUUUAGGUGUUGUUUGCUUGUUUUGAGCUCUACACUCUUUGCUAGGAAUACUAAAGAUGGGCGCUCAAUAAUUUGGUAAGAACUUACCCAUUGUUCUGGGUCCAGCUUUUGUUUUUUUGUUGUUGUUGUGAAUUUUGAGUUAAUUAUUUUGGGGUUGCAGAGCAAUCUUUAAAAAUCUAUGCAGUGGCGUAUCCUGGAAUGAAACCAAAAAAAGAGUUGAGGUUUAUGUUUGGAGUCAUUCUAGGACAGGAAGAGCAGCACGGAUGAGUUGCAGGAAGAGAAGUGUGGCUCGAGAUAACUCCUAUGUUCUCAUCAUGUAAAGGACCUAGUGUUUUUAUGCUAACUAGUAAGUCCUCGUUUUUUCUAUUAUCUUUGAUCAUUUUGCAUUUCUUCACUUGCGUUCUCAAGAUUUUUGUUUGUUUAUGAGUGAUGCUUAUUUGAGUCCCAACGGCAUCCAUCAGUUUUUAAUAUUUAUCAUCAAGGAGAGGUGAAAUUAUUAUUUAAUGACUGGUAUUUUGUAUAUCACUAGCAUUAUUCUUUAUUUUUUGUGAUUUUACUUUUUAAUUUGUUUAAUUGGGUGUAGUUAUUAUAUUGUGCCUGAAUUGGGACUGGAUGUGAACUAAUCUUAUGCAUCUUGCAAGGCUAUUCAAGAGUAUAUGGAGGCCAAAUCUCUAAGUUCUUUUCAAAAUAUUGGAUUUACUGAUUCUCUAAUGUUCUUUUUCUUUUUCUUUUAUGCAAUGCAGCUUGGUGUGGAAAAAGAACAUGUUCUGCUUAUUCAAUCAACCAAAACAAAAAUUUGUAAAUUUUUUUCUGUCACUAUUAUUUAACAGAAAUUCUUGUUUCUAGUUUUAUGUUGUGCUAACGCUAUUGAAGUUGAUUUAGUGUAUACAUUUGAUGCAAUGUACUUUUUUCUAGUAUCUUGCUAACAGUUUAAUUUUUUCUUACUGCUCUUCAAUUAGGGUAUGAAAUAUAAACUAGCAGCCAGUGCUAAUAAGGAUGAGGAAGAUUUAGAAGGAAGGACAACGUUGCAUUUUGCCUGCGGAUAUGGUGAGGUAAAACAAUAUGAGCUUUACCCAUUCUUACUUAUUUUUCUUGUUCCUUUUUGUUUGAGUUUUAAAGGUAGGGCAUAUGAUUUAGAUAGAAUUAAAUAUUACUUAAUGUUUUGUGUUUUUGGUUACUUAGUUGAGGAAGUGCUAAUAAAGCCAAUGGAAAACUAGUAUUUGUGCUAACCGGGGCUUUCUAGUGACAGUUUGAGCUAACUUAUAUGGUUUAUGGCAUCAAUUGUUCAUCUCCUGGGGAUACUUAGGACACUUUCUAGUUAGUUUUUUAAUGAAAACUUCCUUGGCAAAUUGGCCAAGUUUAUGACAUGGAGUUAAUCAAAUGCACUUGAAUGCUUUAGGUGGAGUGUGCUCAACUCCUACUUGAGGCUGGAGCAAAUGUGGAUGCUGUGGAUAAGAACAAGUACUACCAUACAUUAUGCAGCUAAUUAUGACUAGAAGGAAUGUGUAGCCCUCUGUUGAAGAACGGUGCUGCUGUGUAAGCCAACACCCAAUAUUGUUUUAACUCCCGUCUCUAUUUUAUAAAAUGCUAUAUGAUUAAUUCUUUCUAUUAUAUUAUCUUUUGUUACCACAGAACUCUGUAGAACAUGGAUUGCAAAACUCCCAUUGAUGUUGCCAAGCUCAAUAGCCAACAUGACAAGCUAAAGCUUCCUGUAACUCCGCAUGUGAAUGAUGGAUUUCGACAAUUUUAUAGGCAUUUUAGUGUGUUAGAUGAAUCUACUCCAGUUAGGCAUUAGGUUUUUAUCGUAACUUGAUGCUUUUGUCAAUGCUCAUGCUUAUUAAUCUGAUUGCUACCACUAAAAUUUUAUAUCAUAAACAAUCUCUUCCCUAGAUGAGUUAUCUGCGAGUAUAUUCUUGUUAUGGCUUCUUUAAUUUCAGCUAUGAUAUAUUUGUACGUUUUUACAAUUUAUUGCCUGAUUAUGUCAAAAUAAGCACUUAUUUUAGGGUAUCCAUUUUAUAGUUUGGAAAAAGCUAUUCUUACCCCCCCACCCUUCAUGAUAUUCUACAAAUUUUUUGCAAUACUAGAAGAGUAGCCGAAGAAAAUGUGAUCUUAUUUUGGGUAUUUUCUAUCAAUUUAGAUAUUAAUAAUGCUAAACUAAUGCACAUGCCAUAUAGUUUUGAUUGCUUCCUUGAUACUAUUAAACUUACUUGUCUUGCCCAAUUAAACUUUUGCAAUUUAGUUAUAUAAUCUAUAGUUUUUAUCAAUAUGCAUUCCUUUUAUGAGCUUAAUUCAAUUAUAAGAGACUCUUUCCUUAGAAAAUUGCAACAAUGAAUUUUACCCUUUAUGCAGAAUAAAAAAUUUAAAAAUUACCAAUGGAACUAAACAUUUUUGUUGUUUGGUAAUAUAAAAUUGUCAUCGUAGUUAGUUUUCGCUUGAAAAAUUAAACAAAUUACAAAAUAAAUGGUUCAAAUAAGUUAGAUUGAUAAAUUAUUACUUGGAGUAUCAAACAAUAAUCACUUGAAUUACCAAAUAAUUUUAACGCUAAGGCAACAAUUCCAUAUUUGUUUCUUAAUAGAUUGGCUUAAUUAAACUUAGUUAAUAAAAAAAAUUAAAACUUAAUAGAUUGGCUUAAUUAAACUUAAGUUUACUUAUAAAUUAUCAUUUGAAUUGUCAAGGAAUUUUGAAAUGCGCUAUUAUUUUGUAUUUAGUUAUGAAUAGAAGUGUUUGAUAUUUUUUUAUAUUAAUCAGCUUGAUAGAAAAUUAAAUAUUUGUCAAAUGCUUGAUAGAAAAUGUAACUUGCUAUUAUUCUAUGGAAUACUCAUAUUUAGCCUUUGGGUUAAUAUAAUUCCCAUCCAUAUUACAAUUAAUAAAUUAAUAACAUCAAAUAUGAGAUAAAAUAUUUCAUAUCCAUAUUAGCAAUAAAUUGAUCACAUAAUAUAUGGAUUAUCAAAUAUUCACAUUUAUAUCAACCGUCCAAGACCAAAGCAUGGGUGAACAUAAUUCACAUCCAUAUCCCUCUGGAAUGAUUCUGGAAGAUAACGGUUAGCCGUUAUUUGAUGAUGGUUCACCAUUAUCUUCUAGAAAUAAGUGUAACUGCUAAUUUGAUUCUGGAAGAUAACGGUGAACCGUUAUCUGAUAGCGGCUAAUCGUUAUUUCUAGAAUUACUCUAAAAAAUAUUCGAAAAUAUUCUUUAUUUUGGCUUUAUUCAGGACAUGCAACAACUGACGUUAAACAUGAAACUUGCAACACUUCACGUGAAAUAUGCAACUUAUCACGUAAAACGUUUGCAACUUCGACAUCAAACAUGAAACAAGCGAGAAUAUUUGGGAAUAUUUUUUAUUUUGGCAUUAUUCAAUAUAUGCAACAUCUAACGUCAAACAUGCAACCGUGACGUCCGACAUGCAACAACUAACGUUAAACAUGAAACUAGCAACACUUCACGUGAAAUAUGCAACUUAUCACGUAAAGUUUGCAACUUUGACGUCAAACAUGAAACGGACGAGAAUAUUCAGGAAUAUUCUUUAUUUUGGCUUUAUUCAAGACAUGCAACAUUUAACGUCAAACAUGCAACCAUGACGUCCAACAUGCAACAACUGACGUUAAACAUGAAACUUGCAACACUUCACGCGAAAUAUGCAACUUAUCACUUAAAGUUUGCAACUUCGACGACAAACAUGAAACAUGUGAGAAUAUUCGGGAAUAUUCUUUAUUUUGGCUUUAUUCAAGACAUGCAACAUCUAACGUCAAACAUGCAACCGUUACGUCCGACAUGCAACAACUGACGUUAAACAUGAAACUUGCAACACUUCACGCGAAAUAUGCAACUUAUCACGUAAAGUUCGCAACUUCGACGUCAAACAUGAAACGAACGAGAAUAUUCCGGAAUAUUCUUUAUUUUGGCUUUAUUCAACACAUGCAACAGCUUACGUCAAACAUGCAACCGUGACGUCCGACAUGCAACAACGGACGUUAAACAUGAAACUUGCAACACUUCACGUGAAAUAUGCAACUUAUCACGUAAAGUUUGCAACUUCGACGUCAAACAUGAAACGGAUGAGAAUAUUCGGGAAUAUUCUUUAUUUUGGCUUUAUUCAAAACAUGCAACACCUUACGUCAAAUAUGAACUCCAUCCGUCGAACAUGCAACAACUGACGUUAAACAUGAAACUUGUAACACUUGACGCAAAAUAUGCAACUUAUCACGUAAAGUUCGCAACUUCGACGUCAAACAUGAAACGGACGAGAAUAUUCGGGAAUAUUCUUUAUUUUGGCUUUAUUCAACACAUGCAACAGCUUACGUCAAACAUGCAACCGUGACGUCCGACAUGCAACAACGGACGUUAAACAUGAAACUUGCAACACUUUACGUGAAAUAUGCAACUUAUCACGUAAAGUUCGCAACUUCGACGUCAAACAUGAAACGAACGAGAAUAUUCUGGAAUAUUCUUUAUUUUGGCUUUAUUCAACACAUGCAACAACUUACGUCAAACAUGCAACCGUGACGUCCGACAUGCAACAACUGACGUUAAACAUGAAACUUGCAACACCUCACGCAGAAUAUGCAACUUAUCACGUAAAGUUUGCAACUUCGACGUCAAACAUGAAACGGAUGAGAAUAUUUGGGAAUAUUCUUUAUUUUGGCUUUAUUCAAAACAUGCAAUACCUUACGUCAAAUAUGAACUCCAUCCGUCGAACAUGCAACAACUGACGUUAAACAUGAAACUUGCAAUACUUGACGAGAAAUAUGUAACUUAUCACGUAAAUUUCGCAACUUCGACGUCAAACAUGAAACGGACGAGAAUAUUCGGGAAUAUUCUUUAUUUUGGCUUUAUUCAACACAUGCAACAACUUACGUCAAACAUGAAACCGUGACGUCCGACAUGCAACAACUGACGUUAAACAUGAAACUUGCAACACCUCACGCAGAAUAUGCAACUUAUCACGUAAAGUUUGCAACUUCGACGUCAAACAUGAAACAGAUGAGAAUAUUCGGGAAUAUUCUUUAUUUUGGCUUUAUUCAAAACAUGCAACACCUUACGUCAAAUAUGAACUCCAUCCGUCGAACAUGCAACAACUGACGUUAAACGUGAAACUUGUAACACUUGACGCAAAAUAUGCAACUUAUCACGUAAAGUUCGCAAUUUCGACGUCAAACAUGAAACGGACGAGAAUAUUCGGGAAUAUUCUUUAUUUUGGCUUUAUUUAACACAUGCAACAGCUUACGUCAAACAUGCAACCGUGACGUCCGACAUGCAACAACGGACUUUAAAUAUAAAACUUGCAACACUUUAUGUGAAAUAUGCAACUUAUCACGUAAAGUUCGCAACUUCGACGUCAAACAUGAAACGAACGAGAAUAUUCCGGAAUAUUCUUUAUUUUGGCUUUAUUCAACACAUGCAACAACUUACGUCAAACAUGCAACCGUGACGUCAGACAUGCAACAACUGACGUUAAACCUGAAGUACUAUUUUUUUCAUUUUCAAUUUCUUUAUUUUUUGCCAUUUUAUUUCAUUAUAUUAUAUUGUAUUAUAGGGUUUGUAUUAUAUUAUUUAAUUUAUUUAUCUUUUGCUAUUAAUUAUAUUAUAAAAAAUUAUUUUGACUUUUUUUUUUAAUUUUUAUGUUAUAUUUUUAUAUAUUUUUUUAAAAAAAUAUGGUGCAACCGGUUUGUUAACCGGCUGCACCAAGUCUUUGGCUGCCAAAUGGCAGCCAAAGACAGCCGGGCUCUCUUUUUGAGAGCCCGGCAUGGUGCCGGCUACAAUGCCCCCAGCAUUGUAGCCAAACCCCUCUGUCUCGCGUUUUUCCUCCUCUGGCCGCCCUUCUCUCCAAAAGCCAAAAAUCCGUUUUAUAAUCUUUAAAAUGGGCCCCACCUCUUAAAUCCUAAAGCCAAAAGACUUGGCAUUUUACUUGAUUUGCUCUCACACGUGAUCACUCUGAGAAUUGCUUUAGAAUUCCUUUUGUAAUUAUGAAAGCCAAGUGUGGGUCCCUUUAAAUUGCAUCCAAAUAUUAGAAUGCCAUGCAUUUGCUUCUCACGUGCUGGCCACUUUAGCUUUAAAUUUCUUCUUUGUUUGCACUAGCAUGGAGAAUUCACUUUAUUGGCUUCAGCUUCUUCGGAUUGAAUUUCAUACACAUCUAUUUAAUUGCUCCCACAAAUUGACUUGAUCUUUAAUGCUGUCCAUUUAUUAUUCUUUAUGUAUUUUUCAUCCAUUAUCUCCAAUUAAUUCCCUAUUCAAUAAAAUAAUUCAAUUAAUUAAAAAUAAUAAAUAAAAUUAACUAACAAUUAUAUAAUAAAGGGUAAAAUAUGUAAAUAAAUUAUGCUCAUCACCCAACAGCUCAGAUCUGUUGUCCUGGCUCUCGGUUGCUUCCGUCACCUUCACUCCCUCUAUCUCGGCAGCUCCCAUCGCUUUCCCUCUCUGCCGUUCUUUCUCUCACAGUCGAAACCAAAACUCAAAUCCCUAACUCCCCAGCGAACAAAACCUCUCAUUUGCCUCAAAACAAAACAAAAUCCAUCCGUACUCCUUCUCUCUGAUUAUUCGAAAGUUAGAAGCACCCUAAAUAGUUCUCUCUGAAAAGCCAUUCACCCAAACCCUAACCUCACUAAUAAAAUUUUUAUUGAUAGUGAUUUUUUCAAUUAAUUCAGAUAUGGCUUCAUUGGCAGAGAAACAAAGGUUAGUGUUUGCUCUAUUUCUUUCAUCGAUUUUCUUUCUCAUUUUGAAAAUUUUCUAAUUUUCUCUUAAUUUGUGAUUUUAUUGUUUCUAUAGCUGUUGUUUGAUUAAUUUUGAUAAAUUUUGCUUAAUUUGAUGGAAAGCAUGAUUUAUUACAUGUCUGCUUGUUAUUGGCAGUUUAUAUGGUGAGUAGGGCAGUAUUUUAAUUGAAACAAUUAAAGAUAUGAGGAAUUAUUAGGUAGAAAGUGGCUGCUGGAGGAGGUUCUCCUAUUGCAGUAUGCCUAAAUAGUAUUCAUUUUGCCCUUUUUUUUUUUACCGUUGACUGUUGUUUCUUGUGAAUGCGUUUCUAAUCCAGAGACUUCACCCUGUGGUAUCCACUUUAAGAAACUACUCAUCUGCAACUAAAUAAGUAAUUGUGCCUUUUAUAACCUAUUACUUGCAAUGCACUGAUUUUAGCUGUAUGGUGCUUGUAUUUUACUUUUUCUAAGUUCAUAAUAGUUUUUUCUUUUGAGAGAGUUAAUGAUAUGAGAAAUUACAAAUUUAAUAUUUAUUCAAGGUUGCAAUUUCAUGUUUAGGGCAUAUGUAUUACUUUCGUCUUAUAUGGUGUGUGAUUAUUGUCUUAAAAGUAAAUUCUGGUGCUUGAUUUUGAUAUAGUCCUAAAAUAAUUUAUGAGGUUUUUUGUGAACAUUGACCUUGUGAAACCUCAAAACAGAAAAUUCAGUAGAAUGUUCAUGUGUGCUCUGUUAAACAUGAGAUUUGACUAACUGAGAUUGUAAUACAGUUAGUCAUAUGAUCUUGUGCUGAUGAGUUUAGCCCAUAAGUCUCAUAACCAUACAAGUAAUGUCAAUUAUAAUAGAAGGACCUCUCUGUAAUCAACUUCAGUCAUUGGCUAAUUGUGGAAUUCAUUGUGCUAGUGUUCAAUUUCACCAUUUGUUUCUGAUUGUUAACAAAUUUUCUUCACCCGCUUUUUCUUGCUUACAAUAAACAAAAGGAUGAAAUGACUUUUAUCUUGUUAUAAUUUUUGCAGCUCAAGUUUUGAACUUUUAUUUAUUUUGGCUGGUAGUUAGUAGUUGAUUUGUGUUUGUGAUUGCUUUCUUUGUAAGGAAAGUUGGCAUCUGUUGAGGAGUUGGAACCAUUUGUCAAUCAUGCAUCUCAAAUGGCCGCACUUGACUACAUUGUAUCUAUUGAAAGUGAUGUGUUUAUUCCAUCAUACUCAGGAAACAUGGCAACGGCAGUUGAAGUUCAUCUGAUGUUGAGGUAACUAACAUAACUGCUUAAAUCAGGAAACAUAUUUGUUUGUGGAUGAGUUUCAAUUUCUAAAGCAUAAAUCAGGAUAUAAUAUAAGCAACAGGAAACAUAUUUGUUUUUCUUAUCCUAUAUUUAGAGUUGAGGGGUGUAGCUACCUAUCAGCUGGUGUUACAUUUUGGUGUGAAUGUUUAGGCAUGAAUUGGCAGAAGAAUGUUAUAAUGAUGAUUAUGCAAUGUUAUCUAUCUUUCAGUUAUGGAAGGGUGUAAUGGAGGAGUUAAAAAUUCAUUAUUUAUUUGCAAAGUAUAGUUUUGAUUCUUGUCCAGUUAGGCCUUUUUGUUGAAAGUAUGAAACUUGUCGAAUGUGUAUGGCACCGUAUUAUCUAUUUGUAAUGCAUUUACUUGAGUUUCUAGUAACUUAAUUGUCAUUUUUUUAAUGCAGGUAGUAGCAACAACCACAAUCUUGACUUAAGCCUUGGAAUUUCUCAGUGUUCCAGUGCUAAUGGUCUUAUUCAUCACAUUCAUUGUGAUGAUUCUAAACUGCCCAACAAAGAAAGACCAGCGGCUAAAUUACCUAUACUUUUCUCAAUGAGAGUAACCACCCUUUUUGCUUAUUCUUAAUACACUUUCGAUUUAACAAAUUGAUAGCUCUAAGUUUAAUUAAUUUUUAUUUUUUUCUUCAGUUAAUAAUUAUGCACAAACAAUAUGUUAAUUUAGUUUCAUAUCAUUUAGAUUCAGUAGUUGUGUGUGUACAAACUACAAUUUUGAAGAAAUUAGGAAACUAUGUAGAUUGCAGCAUGUAAAUUUUAUCAGUUUUUUUUAUUGUUCAUGUCUUGAAUGGUGCAAGAUGACUUACAAUAAACCAAAGCAUGUAUAUGGGUCAAAACUAAAUAAUCAGAGAAAAUGUCAAAUUGGAACAUGGAAACAAUAAUAGAAGACUUCAUUUCGAUUACCGAAAGAAAGAAUCAGCAGAAGCAAUAAACCUGUGUUGGAAGAUUGUGCUGUUACCAUAUAUCAUUUUAUAAAUUAUUUGUAGUUGGUAAACAAUGUAAUAAGUUUCAAACAAUGUAAUAAUUUUUAAAUUAUUCAUUGCAAUGUAAUAGUUUUCAUAUUGUUGAAUGUAAAUUUCAAUUCAAAUGCCAAUUGCAAAUUUUCAAUUUCUGUUAUAUCGAUUUUUUUUUAAUUUUUCUCAAAUAAACAUUGAUACCAAAGUAUCGUUAUAUUUAUUAUGCCUUCGUAUCAUUAUUUGUUUGAUACCUUAGUCUCGUUAUACAUGUGAUGUUCAAGCAUCAACAUUUUUUUGAUACUAUGGUGACAUAGUUUCACUGAUGCAAAAAACUUGUGUCAGUAAAUUUCUUGUACCGUAUUCAAUGACACUAAAUUUGGUGUCAGUAAAACAAGUUCCUGAUACCAAAAUAGUAUCAGAGAAAGCCAUUUUUUUACUAGUGAAUUAUAGGAUUUAGAUUCGAUUUGUUUAUUAAACAAAUAUUUGGUUUGAUUCGUUUAACUUAUUUAGUAAAAUUAAUAAAUGAAUCAAAUUAAGUCUGAAUCCAUUUACUAUUGUUUACAAAAAUAUAAUUAAUAAACAAAAAUUAGGCAAAAUAAAAUAAAAAAGACCACAAAUUUAACAUUCUACAAAAUAUAAAUAAUCCAAACUAUAUUCUUAGAUUAAAUAUUUAGUCAUCCAAACAUCAAAUUAUAAAUUUUUAAUAAUCCAAAUAAUAUCAAUUAAAAUUCAAAUUAUAAACUAAGGUGAUUUCUUUAAUUCUCUUUAUUUUGUCAUGGUCACACUGAAAACAAGAGUCCUACAAGAAAAAAGUAAAUAGAAUAGUAUUGUAAUAUUUCAAAAUAUCAAAAAUAUUUCAAAAUAUUAUAAACAUUCUACACGUUGCAACACUGAUAAGAGUCAUUAUAAUAUUUCAAAAUAUCAAUUAUAUACCAAAUUUUGUAGUAUUGAUAAGGAAAUAAUAAUUAAAUCUACAAAGGCAAGAAAAAUCAGCAAGAUAAAACUUUGCCUAUCACACUCCCACAUUGUCUCUAGCAUCAUUGGCACUCUCUUGAGAUCGAGCACUAUUAGUGCUCAUGUUCAUAAUGUUUUCAGUAAGUUGGGCCAAAAUGACAUCAAAAUUUUCUACAAUAAGGGUGCAUUUGAUGUACUGUAUUGUAUUAUAUUCUAUUAUAUUGCAUUAUUUUAAUACAAAAUUAUUUAUUAUAUUGUAUUACAUUAGAACUGUAUUAUAAUAAUAUCAUACAACAUUUGAUACUACAUUGUAAUAUAUUAAUUUUUAAUUAUAUUAUGUUUAGUGUUGCAAUGUAUUGUAUUAAUCUUUUUUUGUGAUUAUUCUAAAUUAUAUAUUUAGAAUAUAAUAUUUAUUAGUACAAUACUUAGGAAAUACUAAAUACAAAAAAUUUAGAUUUUAGAACUUUUACAUUAUUUUUUAUCAUAGAUGUAAAAAGAAUUAUAAUUCUCCAUAAAACAUAUCUAAAACUAACAAAUUUUAAAAUUUUAGCUGCACAACAUUUAUUUUUUUUGCUUUUCCUAAAUAUAUAACUUGUGAAAUAAAGAUGAAAGCCACUAAUUCAUUCAAAUAACAGCAAGGAGAUUAUUUUUUAAGUAAUAAAUAGAAAAGCUUUAUUUAUUCAAGAAUGUGGAUGAUGAUGGUACAAAGACUGCAUUUUAGAGUAUGAAAUGGCAACGUAUUUAUCAAGCAUUGAAAUCACUGCUUCAAUUUUUUUUUCACUAAAAUAUUGAUUGAUUAUCGAUCACAAGUUCCAUUUUGUUUGCACAUUCCAAUUUACUUGAGUCGCUAAGUGACGAUUGAAGCUUCUCUACAUCUGUUUUUUUUACGUGCAUAAAUUUGAUGCUACCUCAGGCCCCAACUACUAAAUUCCAAACAAUUUCAUUAAGCAAUCCAUCCCAGAUCAAAAUGAUGCAGCACAAGUGUAAGUUUCUGUUGUACUCUCACUUUAACAUGUGGCCUCGCAGCCUACGAUGACUCAUCUUCAUGACAAUCCCAAAGGGCUCGAAUAAUAAUUUCACAACAACUUUCCCUUCGAACAGAACAAGGGUGACAAUGGUGUUGGAGUUGAACUUGAACGAGGACAAAUCGUGGCUAGAUUCUUUGAGACUGGUCUUGACGCGGUCUAUCGUUUUGGUCUUGGACUUUUCGGUGGAGAUUUUAGCUAGGUUUUCAAUUUUUGUGGUCGUGAGUUUCUUGGAGGCUUUGUCGAUGGAGGAUUUGAGGAAUUUGUAAGAGUUGGUUUGGUAAAUGAGUGGCUCAGCAAGUUCAUAAAGUGCCUCUAUCUUACCUUCUUCCUCUUUCCCUCCCAUGCCUCUGCAAUAGCGAUUGUUUCAUCUGAGACACAAACGAUAGGGAGAACUUUGUCUCAAAAGAAUUACAAUUUACAAAUCCGGAUAAACCCGAUUUCCUCGUGAGUUUAGUCCGUGUGGGUUUGAUAGCAUAAAUUAGAUAUUUGACUACAUUACAAUACUAUGCAUUAAAAUUACAAAACAUGGGAUUAUAAUCCUUUAAUACUAUGAGGGUUUUAGUACUAUAUAAUGAGGAGUACCAAAAUGUCCUAAUUUUAUAAAAAUAAAUCUUAAUUAGAAACAAUUGAAUAUAAUAUUAUAAAAGUAAAAUAAAUUAAUUUCAUGAGAAAGUCUUACAAUCUCUCCGAACAUCCAAUCUCUUAUAGUAAUAGUUGCUUGGACAAUCUUUGAUGUCAAUACACUUUAAAAUUGAUCAAGAACUUGACUGCCAACAUUAAAAGUUGAUUCAGACGCAAUAGGGAAUAUAAGAAUGCUUAAGAUAUCACGAGCCAUGGAAGAAAGGUUAAGAUAACGAAAUCUGUUUCCUUUCAAAAACUUAGAAUGUUUAAAUUAAUCUUUCUAUCUAUUCUUGGUUCAUCCAAAUAAAACUUUAAUUCAGAUUUUCUAACAUAGGCAUGACAAUCCAUGCUAUUAAGAUCAUCAAACUCCUACAAAAUAAUUAAAAAAUAAGAAUAGUCAAAAUCCAAAACAAGUACAAAUAAGACAAUAAUAUAAUUUUUACAAUGAGCAGAAAAGAAAAUUGUAAAUGUACCUUAAAUAGUUCCAUGGUCCAUUUGUUAAGUGUAUUCUAACUAUUGUCAUUAUGUCCUAAUCUUGAACCAACAUCAUUCAUUUGAGUGAGUGUGGAUGUGGUGGAGAAAGAUAGUUUAAUAAAAUUGUACUCACUAAAAACUGAAAACAACUUAUCCUAAACAUGUUCUAAUUGCUUUGAAUUUUGAUUAGAAGCAUUGUCGUAGGCAAACUUAAUGAAUGCCAUCUUGUAUCGAGGAUACAAGAUGGCCACUAUUGCCAAAAUGGUACAAAAAUCAAACCAAAACUCAUUUGAGUGAUCCAAAAUGCCAUAUUCUCAAACGUUUCGAUCAUUUUCUAUGCCAUAAUUUUCAUAUAUACAUCCUCACUAUGCAAUAAUUGAUCCAAAACAACAUUGUCACUAGCAUUAUUGUAACAUUUCAAAAUAUCAACCAUUUACCAAAUUUUGUAGUAUUGAUAAGGAAAUAAUAAUUAAAUCUACAAAGGCAAGAAAAAUCAGCAAGUUAAAACUUUCCCUAUCACACUCCCACAUUGUCACUAGCAUCAUUGGCACUCUCUUGAGAUCGAGCACUAUUAGUUCUUAUGUUCAUAAUGUUUUCAGGAAGUUGGGCCAAAAUGACAUCAAAAUUUUCUACAGUAAGGGUGCGUUUGGCGUACUGUAUAGUAUUAUAUUAUAUUAUAUUACAUUCUUUUAAUGCAAAAUUAUUUAUUAUACUGUAUUACAUUAGAACCGUAUUAUAAUAAUAUUGUACAGUGUUUGAUACUCCAUUAUACUGUAUUAAUUUUUAAUUAUAUUAUGUUUCGUGCGGCACUGUAAUGUAUUAAUCGUUUUUGGUGAUUAUUCUAAAUUAUAUAUUUAGAAAAUAAUAUUUAUUAGUACGAUACUUAGGAAAAUACUAACUAUAGAAAAUUUAGAUUUUAGAACUUUUACAUUAUUUUUUUAGUAUACAUGUGAAAAAAAUUAUAAUUCUCCCUAAAACAUAUGUAAAACUAACAAAAUUUAAAAUUUCAGUUGCAUAACAUUUAUCUUUUUUUGGCUUUUCCUAAAUAUAUAACUUGUGAAAUGAAGGUAAAAGCCGUUAGUUCAUUCAAAUAAUGAUAGGGAGUUUUUUUUAAAGUAUUAAAUAAAAAAGAUUUAUUUAUUCAAGAACAUGGAUGAUAAUGGUACAAAGACUGCAUUUUAGAGUCUGAAAUGGUAACGUAUUUAUCAAGCAUUGAAAUCUUUGCUUCAAUUUUUUUUUUCACUAAAAUAUUGAUUGAUUAUCAAUCACAAGUUCCAUUUUGUUUGUGCAUUCGAAUUUACUUGAGUUGCUGAGUGCCAGUCGAACCUUCUUUGCUUCUGUUUUUUUUUUUUUUUACGUGUGUAAAUUUGAUGAUACCCCAAGCCCCAACUACUAAAUUCCAAGCAAUUUCAUCGCCUAAUCCAUCCCAAAUCUAAAUGAUGCGGCACAAGUGUAAGUUUAUGUUGUACUCUCACUUUAACGUGUCACCUUGCAGCCUACGAUGGCACAUCUUCAUAACAAUCCCAAAGGGCUUGAACAGUAAUUUUGCUAUAACUUUCCCUUUGAGCAGAACGAGGACGAUAAUGUCGUCGAAUUUGAACUUGAACAAGAACAAAUUGUGGCUAGAUUCUUUGAGGUUGGUCUCGACGCGGUCUAUCAUUUUGGUGGAGAUUUUAGCUGGAUUUUUCGAUUUUUAUGGUCUUGAGUUUCUUGGAGGCUUUGUUUGCAGAGGAUUUGAGGAAUUUUAAAGAGUUGGUUUGGUAAAUGAGUGGCUCAACAAGUUCAUAGAGUGCCUCCGUCUUAGCUUCUUUCUUUUUCCUUGCCAUCCCUCUACAAUAGUGAUUGUUUCAUCUGAGACAGAAACGAUAAGGAGAACUUUGCCUCAAAAUAAUUACAAUUUACAAAUCUGCAUAAACCCGAAACAUUACAAUACUAUGCAUUAAGGGUGUGUUUGGUAGCCUACAUUAUAUGGGAUAAAAACACUAUUUUGUAUUCAAUUUAUACAAGCUCAUGAUUGGCGCUAAAAGCUGCUACAACUACACUGCGUUAAUGGGAUAUGCUAAUGCGGCAGUUGCAACAUUAGUUUGCCUCUUAUUAAGUUUUUUCAAUUUUCUUAAUAAUAAUAAAAAUAAAAAUGAAUAAAUAUAACUUUUGAAUUUGAAUAUUAUAUUAUAUAAUAUUAAUUUUUAUUUUUAUAAUUAUUGAUAUAAAUUAAUAAUUUAUUAGUCAAUAAUAUUUUUUUAUAUUUUUGUUUUUACAUUAUAAUUUAUUAUUAAAUUUAUAAUUUAAUAUAAUUAAUAAUAAUAUUAAUUUAAAUAAUAAUAUAAAAUAUUAUUGCAUAUACUACAGAACUUUUACUUGGAUUAUUUAGCACAAUUCAUUUGUUAGUGAAUAUGUUAUAGCAAUUAUAUCACUUUAUUAAUUUGUUAUCAUCUUGUGGUGUGUAAAAAUUUUUAUUUCAUUAUCCUAAGAUGACUUUUGAACUAAUCUUCUAGGUUUUAAUUAUUUAUUUAUGUUGUUAUAUUAUUAGAGAUUAUUUAAUUAAAUUAUUUGUUUUGAUCUUUAUCUCACAGGUCAUAUAUUUAGAAAAUAGUGAAAAAUAAAUGUAAUGCUUCUGAAAAUUUAAGGUUAUAAGCUUCGAUAGUUAUGAAGAAUUAUGAUAUUUUUUAACAUUUACACUAAAAAAAUUGUUAAAUUUUUAAAAUUUAAAACUUCUAUGUUUAGUAUUUUUCUAAAUAUUAAUAAAUAAUAUUUUCUAAAUAUAUAAUAUAAAUUACUCAAAAAAUUAUUACAUUAUUUUCUAAAUAUAUAAGAUAAAUUACUAAAAAAAAUUAUUACAUUAUUUUCUAAAUAUAUAAUAUAAAUUACUCAAAAAAAUUAUUACAGUACAAUAUAACACAAAAUAAAGUCUAAUUGAAAAUUAAUACAGUACAAUGUAGCACCAAACAUUGUACAACAUUAUGAUAAUACAAUGCUAAUACAAUACAAAAAAAAUAUAAUAUACCAACAUUAAAAUACAACAUAAUACAAUACGGUGUGCCAAACGCACCCUAAAAUUACAAAACAUGGCGUUAUAAUCCUUUAAUACUUUGAGUGGUUUUAAUACCAUAUAAUGAGGAGUACCAAACAUGCCCUAAUUGUAUAAAAAUAAAUCUUAAUUAGAAAAAAAUGAUAUAAUAUUAUAAAAAAAUAAUUAAUUAAUUUCAUUAGCAAGUCUUACCAAUCUCUCAUAACAUCCCAGUCUCUUAUAGUAAUAAUUGCUUGGAAAAUCUUUGAUUUCAAUAAACUUUAAAAUUGAUCAAGAACUUGACUGCCAAUACUAAAAACCGAUUCAAAUGCAACAGAGAUAUAGGAAUGCUUAAGAUAUCACGAGCCAUGGAAGAAAGAUUAGGAUAACAAAAUCUGUUUCCUUUCAAAAAACUUAGAAUGUUUAAAUCAAUCUAUCUAUUCUUGGUUCAUCCAAAUAAAGCUCUAAUUCAGAUUUUCUAACAUAGGCAUAACAAUCCAUGUUAAUAAGAUCAUCAAACUCCUACAAAAUAAUUAAGAAAUAAGAAUUGUCAAAAUCCAAAACAAGUACAAAUAAGGCAAUAAUAAUUGUUACAAUAACAGAGAAGAAAAUUGUAAAUGUACCAUGAUUAGUUCCAUGGUCCAUUGGUUAAGUGUAUUCUGACUAUUGUCAUUAUGUCCCACACUUGAAUCAAUAUCACUCAUUUAAGUAAGUGUGGAUGUGGUGGAGAAAGAUAGUGUGAUAAAAUUUUACUCACUAAAAACUGAAAACAACUUAUCAUGAACAUGUUCUAACUACUUUGAAUUUUGAUAAUAAGCGUUGUCGUAGGCAAACUUAAUGAAUGCCAACUUGUAUCGAGGAUGCAAGAUGACCACAAUCCCCAAAAUGGUACAAAAAUCAAACCAAUACUUUUCAAACUUUUUGAUCAUUUUCUAUGCCAUAAUUUUCAUAUAUACAUCCUCACUAUGCAAUAAUUGAUCCAAAACAAUAUUAGAUACAAACACCUUAGGAAAAUAUAAACUUGAACUGGGGUAUUUUUGUUGGGAUUAUGUGCUCUUUAAAACAUAUUGAUUUAUUUAUUUUCUAAUUAAUAAAAUAUUUGAGAUAUUUUUCAAAAAUCUUAAUUGCAUAAAUAUUUUGAAUAAGGUCCAUUUAAUCAUAUUAUAUAUAUUUAUGUGAUCAUCAUAUGGAUUCACAGAAGAGAUAAAUACAAGUUAUCUUAUGAUUAAAUAAAUUAAGUUCACAAUUGAUAAAUAGAGUUGGACGCUCUAUUUAUGUUUAAACUAUAGUAAAUUCAUUGAAUGAUUUAUCUUAAUCAUGUAUGAAUUUACUGAUUUAAUUUGACUAUAUUGAACUGGAUCACAUAUGAGAAUUUUUUUUUGAGUUCUGCUAUUUGAACUUCGCGAAGACAAAAGAACAACAGAAAAAAUUGGCACGUGAAUCAACUGCACUAACAGCUUUUGUCUCUCUCUUUGUCCAUUACUUUUUGAGUUUAAAAAAUAAAAUAAUGAAAAGAAAGAAAGAAAAGUAACAAAAGAAAAGAAAGAGAUUAUUUUUUUAUUCUCGUGAAUCACCCCUCUUGUCUCUCUCUCCAUUUACUCUUUCUCACGUGAAUCACCCCUCUUGUCUCUCUCUCCAUUUACUCUUUCUCACGUGAAUCACCCCUCUUGUCUCUCUCUCCAUUUACUCUUUCUCACCUCUCAUUUACGUGAGCUCUCUGCGUUCAGGAAGGAAAAACUCAAACAAGUUAUGUCUCUGCAUCUCAUAAAUUUCGUCUCUGCAUCUCAGUUAUCACAAGGAAGAAAUUAGAUCUAGAUCUACAAACAGAGGUGAGAAAUGUUUAAAUGGUUAGAAUAUUUAAUUUAAAUUGUAAAAAUUCAUAGAUUUUAACUUUUUAUAUAUUUAAAUUGUUAUGAAUUGUUAUGAUUUUUUUAAUUUAAAUGGCUGGAAAUAAUGGAAUAAAUUAUAACAAUUUCUGAAUGUGUUUUAUAUAUGUUAGGAUUUUUUCUUAAUUUAAAUGGCUGGAAAUAAUAGAGUAAAUUAUAACAAUUUCUAAAUGUGUUUUAUACAUGUUAGGAUUUUUUUUAAUUUAAAUUGCUGAAAAUAAUGAAAUAAAUUAUAACAAUUUCCGGAUGUGUUUUAUAUAUUUAAGUUGUUAGGAUUUGAUAAUUUAAAUUGUUGGAGAUAAUGGAAUAAAUUAUAACAAUUUCCGGAUGUGUUUUAUAUAUUUAAGUUGUUAGGAUUUUAUAAUUUAAAUUGUUGGAGAUAAUGGAAUAAAUUAUAAAAAUUUAUGGAUGUGUUUUAUAUAUUUAAAUUGUUAGGAAUUUUCGUAACCGGAAAAAAUGUUAUAUAAGUUUCUUAAUACAAAUGUUAAUUAUUUUGUAGAAAUGGAGUAUUUGGAAAAUGAGCAUGCAUUUGAAGAGUUGCAAGAAACAAGAGCUAACGAUGUGGAUGAAAUUGUGGAACCGAACAAAUGUGAGCCAGCUCUUGGAAUGUUAUUUGAUAAUCAUGAAGAAAUGUUUGCAUUUUACAAAGCUUAUGGUAAACAAGAGGGGUUUCCUGUGAAGGUUCAAAGUACUAAGAAGGGGACCGAUGGAAUUGUAAAAUAUGCGACAUUUGCAUGUGGGCGUAGCGGCAAGUCAGAAAGUAAAUAUGCUAAUGCAUUGAAGUCGAAACCGAUUGUGAAAAAUGGUUGUGAUGCAAAAAUUGGAGGUUGUCUAAAUGAAGAUGGAAAAUGGGUUCUUCGAACUUUAAAUCUUCAACACAACCAUGGAUUGAGUCCAGACAAAGCUAGGUAUUUCCUAUGCAAUCGCAGAAUUAGUGCAAGCGCUAAAAAGCGAAUUGAAAUGAAUGAUUGUGCAGGAAUUAGAAUUGCCCAAAAUUUCAAUUCUAUUGUUGUUGGAGCUGGUGGGUAUGAAAAUGUGCCAUUCUUAGAAAAAGAUUGUAGAAAUUUUGUUGACAAAACAAGGCGAUUACAGCUUGAGGAAGGAGAUGCUAUGGCGCUUUUAAAGUACUUCCAGAAAAAGCAAGCAGAAUGUAAUGGAUUUUUUUUUAGCAUUGAUUUGGAUGAAGAGGAUCGAUUAAAGAAUGUGUUUUGGGCAGAUUCGCGGAGUAGGGCAGCUUACAAAUAUUUUGGAGAUGUCAUCACAUUUGACACUACAUAUCUAAUCAACAAGUAUGACAUGCCAUUUGCGCCCUUUGCUGGAGUUAAUCACCAUGGACAAUCUAUUUUGUUGGGUUGCGGAUUGAUUUCAUGCGAGGAUACAGAGACAUUUACGUGGUUAUUUGAGACGUGGCUAUCAUGCAUGUCUGAUUCUCCUCCCCUUAGUAUCAUUACAGAUCAAGACAGGGCAAUGCAAAAGGCAAUUGAAAACAUUUUUCCUACUACUAGGCAUCGAUGGUGUUUAUGGCACAUAAUGAAGAAGGUGCCUGAGAAGUUAGGGGCUUUUAAAGAACGUGAAGGUAUUAUAUCUUCCCUACUUUCUGCUGUUUAUGAUUCACUGAGUUUUGAUGCGUUUGAGGAAGCUUGACAUUGCAUGAUUACAGAAUAUGAUUUAUGGGAUAAUGAUUGGUUAAAUGGUUUGUACGAGGAGAGGCAUCGUUGGGUCCCAUGCUAUUUAAAAGGCUAUUUUUGGGCAGGAAUGUCAACAACUCAGCGAAGUGAAAGUAUGAAUGCAUUUUUUGAUGGAUUUGUUAACUCAAAAACAAAUCUGAAAUAGUUUGUAAAGCAAUAUGAAAAUGCAUUGAGGAGGAAAGCUGAAUUAGAAUGGCAAGCAGAUGCCAAGUGUUUCAGUAAAAGGACAUCAUGCGUAUCAAGAUAUGAGAUGGAGAGGCAAGUUGAAGAAGUGUACACCAUUUCCAAGUUUAAAGAAUUUCAAGAAGAAUUGACUGCUCUGAUGUAUUGUGAUAUCUCGGAUUCUGUGGGAUCAAUAUAUCAAAUAAUUGAAUCAUUUGGGCAAGGUCGGAGAGGCUUCUUUGAGGUUGUUUUUGAAGAAGCUGAGUGUGAAGUUACUUGUAUAUGUUCAAAAUUCCAGUUUAGGGGUAUUCUUUGCAGGCAUGCCCUUGCAGUGCUGAUACGUAACUCAGUUGAAUUACUUCCAGAAAGAUACAUUUUAUCAAGGUGGAGGAAAGAUGUGAGGAGAUGUUAUAGUAAGCUGAAAGUUUGUUAUGGUGUGCAGAAUUUGACCAUCCAGCAAGAAAGAUAUGAAAAAAAUGUGUAACGCUUUCAGUGAGGUUGCAGACAUAACCUCUGAUGAUGAAAAUAGCUAUAAAACGGUGUUGGAUUGGAUUGAGAAAGCAAUGAAGGAUCUGCCCAAGCAAAUUUGCUGUGAAAGUGUGGGAAAAACUAAUACUGGUGGAACAAGUUGUAGCAGCAACAAACAAAUUAACAGUGAGAGUGUGGAAAGAACUGUUAUUGGUGAAGUAAGUUAUGGCAGCAACAAUGUUCAACUUGCACUAAAUGAUCCAGUAGUGACACGUCAUAAAGGCCGUCCACCUUGCCUGAGGAAAGAAUCUUCGAUUCGUAAGAAAUCCGUUCAAAAGAACAAGUCCGCACAAAAAAAUAAGUUAUGAUUAAAAACAAAGAUUUAUUUUCUAAUUAAUUUGGUCUUAGUUUAAUUGUCUUUAAUAAUCUUGUAGGAUUUACAACAAACUGCCCCAUCAUCUUAUCAUGUGCCUAAUGAAAUCUCCACACAAGGGAGCAACAUAGCCACAGUAAAUUUUGUGAAUUUUUUCUUUUAAAAUUUUCUUUUAUUUCGAGGAUAUGUAAUUAAGUAUAAGAUUGCGCAUAUGUAGACGCUACAAGAAGGAAGUACUAUUUACGAAAAUCUCAACCAAUGCGGCACUAUGGGCUAUUAUAAUGUAAGAAUUAAAUUAUUUAAAUUUUAGUUUUAAGAUUUUUAUAUGAAUUUUACAUAUAUUUUAUUAUUUGAUUAGGUACCUAUGUACCAAUCCCAAUUCGGUGGAAGCAACAUUUAUCAGCCAUUUCCUUAUAAUUGGCACCCAGUAAGUUGUUGUUUACAAGUCGUUAAUGAAUACAUAUAUUUUAAUAUUUCUGUAAUGUAAUAUGAUGUUUAUUUUUAUGUAUUAUAGCAACUAGUCCACCGUAUACUUCGCAGUUGCAUUAUUCUUCUCCUUCGAUGACUUAUCAAGGAUCUCAAAGUGAGAAUUUCCAACAGUUACUACAGCAGCAGCAGUGUUAUGAAGAUAACAAUGAUGAUACUUGACUUGUAUUUUGGCUUUAAAUUGUAGUGAUGAAAUAAUGUUGUGUUAAAUUGAACUUUAAAAUUUUAAAAUUAUGUUAGAUUUGACUUUAAAUAUUUGAAAUUGUAGUGAUGGAAUAAUGUUUUGUGUUAAAUUGAACUUUUAAUUUUUGAAAUUAUGUUAGAUUUGUUUAAUGUUCUUUAAUUGAACUGUUCUUUUUGCUUUUAUACUUAUGUCCAUGCAUUUCUUCAGGUUCUCAAUUAUGUUAGAUUAGUUUUGAAAUAUGUUAUUCUGAAUUAAAAUUUAUUAUAAUGUAUAAUAAUUUUCUUGUAUGCCUUCUGUAAUAUCAAGUCAAUGGGAAUGAAACGGUGAUGCUGUGAUAUUCUGUAUAAUACUAUAGUUGCAUGUGAUUGUGACGGUGAAAUUUUACCUACUGAUAAUUGAUUCAUGUGCUUAUGUAAUUAUACAUGAAGACAAUUAUUAAUAGCCACAUACUGUCCUCAACCGAAAUUGGUGUGAAUUAAUUUUAUGUGCAAUUUCUUUAUGACCAAUGAAACUUCAAUAAAUUACAAUUAUUGAACACAAAACGAGUAAUUAUAAACAAUUCAUACACAACAAUCAUUUUAUUUAAAUUAUUUAAAUUUAUACAUAACACGGGGUACAAUUUCAUUUAUGUAAAAUACAUAUAGCAACGAUUAUCCCUAAAAUACAACAUAUAAUGGAUAAUAUAGGCAGAAUAAUACAAUCAUUUCUGCCUUUAUCAGUUUGCACAGCUUUGUCACAUGUAGGCACUUCAGUUUGCACCCCCUUUUCGAGUGUUUCCACAAUAAAUUUUGUAGUUUCUAACAUAUUGGAUGUCUCUGGCAAUUUUUCAUGCCUUUUUAUGUAAUCAUUGUAGGCUAUUUCGGCAUCCAACAAAAAUUUAUAAGAUUUAUAAGAAUUCCCUUUGAAUCCAUUUACUUGCAUCUGACAUUCAGGCCAAGAAUUGUAUAUGCCUGGCUUUCGUCCUUUGAAAACAACAUAACAGCUUUGAGUAGGCAUUUGAAUUCUACAUUGGAAAAAUUUAGAUCAAUAUUCUAGACUUUUAUGCUAAGAAUUUCAACUGCUAACAAUAAGAGAGAAUUUCAAAACCAGGAGGGAAAAAAAGAGUAACAUUUUAACCUUCUGAAAAAGAAUGGGAGCCUCACAGCAAAGCACAAAGGCCAACAUCAACCAAGAAACUAAUUUCUGCAACUGUAGGUGAGACAAAUCACAGCAACUGUUCCUGAUGAACAAUGGUAAAUAAAGAGAAAAGAGGUCAGGAGUCUAAUACCAUUACCACACACAUGCCAUGAAUAAUAAGUUGACUAGCUAAUUACUACUUACAAAAAGAGGUCAUAACUCUCCACACUCAUUCAACCUCAAAAUGUGUCUCAGACUUACAACAUUCAGGACAGGAGAGCAAAUACUUUCUCAUCCACCUCUCUCCCAUAGAUCUGAUAUCUCUACAUAUCUCCUCAAUUACUCCCUCUCUCUUAUCUUGCCAACCUCAGAAGACAUGAAUAUGCUAAAUAAUAGCUUUUGUAAUUUUUUUCUUGCACCAAAAGAAAACGAGAAAAUGAAACCCUCACUUUAAAAUCUCUUAAUCCACUGGCAGCUACAGCAUCUUGGUUGUCAGACUAAACCAUCAGUAUCCAGCAAACAAAUUCAUCUCCUCAACCAUUACCAAUUUAUCAAAAGGCUAAAACGUUGUUGGAAGUCUCUAAUCAAUUUAGACCUGAAACAACUCAAUACACAAAAGGAAAGAACAACAUCACCAUAAGUAAGUUAAAAAGACAGCAAUGCCAGCAAAUCCCAUUGACAAAACCUAAAAAAGGACACGACCCAUGUGAUUUUUUUGGCUAAAAAAUAGACAAAUUUGGAUCUAGGUCAAACAUUUUCCGAACAAUUAAUAUUUCCCAACAUAGUACCAAGUCAAAAGAAGGGCAAAAAGAAAAUCAAAUUUUGAUCUAAAGCAAUGCGGAGCGGGAUCCGAUCUGAGUUAAAAACAAAAAAAAUGAAAUAACUUAAAAGAAAAUCUGGUUACCCUUUUGAAAACCCAAGUGCAUAGAUCCAAAGUCGGAACUCAAUGAUCAAUAAUAACUAAAUAAAUGAAUUUUCACAGAGUCGAGACUAAAAAACAGAGCAGUGAGCAGUAAUAAAUGCCCUGUUAGUAUCUAUAAAGACGAGUGAGAAAAUGAAAACCAGAGGCUGAGGCUCUGACGUUUAGUGUCUCUGAAGAAGAAGAAGAAGAAGGAGAAGCACUGAAGCAACGAAUUAAAUGAACACGAGGCCGUACCAUGUGAGCUAUGGUACACAUUCGCACACGUAAACAAAAUCAAAUCCAACACCACCAACAACAACUCACCCAUGUUUCCAAUUUUUUAAUACAAUAUUUUCAAUUAUUUCUCUUUUUCUUAUCAUCUUUGUCCGAUGGUGCAAGAAAAAAAGUUAUAAUUAUAAAAUUAAAAAGAAAUGCUUACGGAAGAAAUGCUAACACUGUCAAUCUCAAAAUUUCAUCAUCCACAACAUAAAAAAAUAAAAAAAAUAAAAAGAAAUGCUUACGGAUGGGUCACUACAACUGUAGCAGCAAGCAAUAACUACAAGUCUCCAAAGCAGCGACGUCGUAGUAGAUCUGGGCUGGGCGAUCAUGUCCGUUCUAAAUCUGGGCUAGGCGAGAACAAGAAGCGGUCGUCGUCCGGUAACAAGAAGCAGACGUCGUCCGGUAACGAAGCAAGUGGGGCUGGGCGAGAAAAAAGAAAAAAAGGGGGAGUCUGGUAACGAACGAAGCAAAUGGAGGGGAGUCUGGUAACGAACGAAGCAAACUCAAUGGAGGGGAGUCUGGUAACGAAGCAAACUCAAUGGAGGGGGAGUGAAAUGAGUGGUUGGGGAGGGGGCAGAAAUGACCAUCGUUUUCUCAUUUUUUUUAAUUUCUUGUGGGUCCACGCAAUAUUAAAAGAAGCAGAAAUCAACGCUUGAAACGAGUGAAACGGCAAUUCAAAGUUGCGUUUCUGUCGUCCCUUUGUCUUCAUUGAGUUCCUUUAUCAUUUUCCUUUUUUUUUUAUACAAAUGGAACCUAGCCAGUGCUUAGGUUAAACAAAGACAAGGGAAAGCAGUCCCCAAACCAUCACUGAACAGCCAAUGGGGAGGUUGAUGAAAUAAAUGGAAACCAAGUGGGAGGGUGAGCGCCAUGCCUGCAAGGAAGUCAGCAGCAAAAUUCGCUUCCCUAUACACAUGAUGCACUGAAAUCAACCAAUCUCGGCUUAGCAAAACCUUUAUUCCCUAAAUCAAUGAAGAAUUAGCAUUACUGUGAUAGUUACGAUCAGCUAAAAUUUGAGUAAUGCUCAAGUUGUCAACUUCUACCCUUAGGAAACGGAUGCCAUGAUCCCAAGCCAUUUGUAACCCUUUAAAAAGGCUCCACAAUUCAGCCCCCAUUAUAGAGCAAGUUCCCAAGUUCAUAUUGAAACCACAUACCCACUCAGCACAUCAAUUCCUCACUAAACCACCAGCACUAGCCAAACCAGACCGUUUCAAAGCCCCAUCAGUAUUGAGUUUGAAAUAUGGCCACGUUGGGGGUUGCCAAUGAAUCAAUUUCUCAAUUUUAUUGGAUUGCUGCUUCUUCAAAAAAUCAUGGGUCAAAGUAAUUUCCUCAGUGCGGCUAUGAACAUCCAUUAGCACAUUACCAAUACUACAUGAUAUGUUAGUAUGAGUAAACUGAUUACACCAAAACCAUAACCUCCACACACUGACUCCAAAAAGCACUGACCAAUCCCCGAAGUUCGCAAUUUGAAAGCCAUUCUUCAUAUUACAGAUUCCUCAUGACCGAAGAUCCAACAUGAAAAAGGUAAAAUGUAAGUGAUUAGGAAUUAAAGCGAGCCAAACACGUUUGGAAUCAAUGUAAUCCCUUACUACAUAUAAGGUGUCCUCCACGUGAAACCCGCAUCCCAUGCAAGCACAAUCAUCUAUCGAGUGUUUGCGAAAGAGCUCAACCCUCGUUUUCAACCUGUUAUGCAUUAACAGCCAAAGGAAACAACGAACACUUUGGGGACCAUUCCAUCGCCAAAUCGAACUCCAAAGAGAAUUAUUCCACUUGGCACCGGCUUAAACAAGUAGAAGUAAGCAGAUUUUAUAGUGAAACAACUAGACUUUGAUGUACCCCAAAAACAACAGUCCUCAACUCCACGCUCACAAGGUCGCAUUGUACCCGCAAUCUUGAAAAGAAUAUGAUUUGGUAAAAGGGAAGCAAACAGACCCCAAUUCCAAGCACCCUCUUGAUCCACAAACCUGGCUACAUAUUGUUUAACCAAGCUGUCAGGGAUUGGGCCAAUAGCAUACUUCUGAAGGUAGUGGUCGUCCAUCAUCCAACAAUCUUUCCAGAACCUCGCAGUCUUGUCGUUGCCUAGAGCCCAACGAACCCCUUAGAGGACUUCCUUCCAUAUGUUUCCCACUGCCUUCCAUAGAGGUGACCCGUGUUUAGUUGGGAGCGAAGAAGGAAGAUCAUUGUUGUUAACACCAUACUUAGAUAUCAAGACUUUAAUCCAGAGACUGUUUGGUGAGUCAAGAAUGCCCCAGCCAAUUUUCAUAAGUAAUGCCUUGUUCAUAAAGUUAAGAUCCUAUAAACCAAGGCCUCCACGGGAUUUGGGAAGUUGAAUCGUCUCCCACCUAAUAAGGCUUAUACGGUAGUUUUCUUCCUUCCCACUUUAUAUAAAGUGUAUGCAUAUCUAGUCGAUCUUAUUUCGAAUACUCGCAGGGAGCAUUGUGGUUUGCAUAGAGUAGAUGGAAGUGACUGGAUAACUGGUUGUGUGAGAGUAAUCCGACCUGCUAAGGAAAGAUGCUUUGCUGACCACCCGGAAAGUCUUUGUUGAACCCAAUCGAUGAUGGUCUGGUAAGUAUGCUUGGUUAUCCGCUUGUGAGUAGAGGCGUGCCUAGAUAAGUGCUAAGGUCCUUUGUAGUGGUGAACCCAAGUUAGCUCCAAUUCGUUGGGCAUCGCUAGUGUGCACAUUAUGGGAGAAAAUGUGAGUGUUUUAUUUUUGCUCACUUUUUCUCCUGAACUCCCACAGAAGUAUCGAGCAUCUCCAUGAUAACUUCUGCUUGGUCUAGUGAAGCUUCUGCCAAAAGUAAAAGAUCAUCAACAAAAAAGAUAUGAGAAAUAGGAAUACCUUGUCUUGAAAGUAGUUGCAUGGUGGCAGACGAAAUGCAUUCCAUAAUAACUCGAAUGAAGCCCUAGGGUAACCCAACUAUGCACAAAGUUUCAAAGAUGAAAUCCCAGUUUAAUCUAUCAUAGGCUUUUUCAAGAUCAACCUUGAUAACCAUUUAACCAGAUUUCCCCUUCUUCUUUCGCAUAAAAUGAAUUACUUCUUAUGCAAUAACAAUAUUUUCUGUAAUAUGUCUCCCUGGAAUAAAGCUUGUCUGGUUGGGGCCAAUAAACCUCGGCAACACCUCCUUGAGUCUAUUAGUCACUAUUUUGGUGAUUGUUUUAUACACCACGGAGGAUAGACGAAUAGGCCGAAACAUUUUCAAGCUAGUAGGAUUGUUGGUUUUAGGUAUGAGCACAAGCAAAGUCCCGUUGAGCUCUUUAGGAAUUGGCGUGCCACCAAAGACCUCUUUUACCACUUUACAAACCGAGGGCCCCAUAACCUGCCAUUGAGAUUGAUAGAAGAUAGCAUGAAAGCCAUCCACACCAGGGGCCUUCAAGGGGGGCAUACUAAAAAUCGUCUACUGAAUUUCCUCAUCAUGCACUGGUUUAAACAAGUUGCCCAUGGUAUUGCUAUCCAUCCUUAGAAAGUGAUUUGGAACCGGGUACAUAUGAUAUUUGCUCUCCUCGUUGAAGUAAAGUUUGACAAAAAAAGAAAUAGCAUGUGCCUUAAUCUCUUCACUAUCGUAUAGCCAGACACCAGAAUCAUCCUGUAUGGCCACCACUUUAUUCGCUCUUUGUUGUUGGAUGGUUUUUUGGUGGAAAAAUCUUGUAUUUCGAUCUCCACUUUUAAUCCAUUCUCUUCUAGAUUUUUAGUACCAAAUAAUCUCUUCUCAGGUCAGAACCUCUUUUAAUUCCUGCCUUAAAUCUGCUUCCAACCAAAUAAGAUGGUUAGAUUGACGAACUUCUAAAGCUUUUUGAAUACCACCGAUUCUCGCCAAGAUUCUUCUUUUCCGUUUAAAAAUAUUCCCAAACACUUCUCUGUUCCAAGUCCAGAGAUUGGUCUUAAACUCUUCAAUCAUCUGCAUAUAGUUUUUAGAGCCAUCCUAAGCACUUUUUACAAAAUUAGCAAAUCUAUGGUCUCUAAGCCAAGAAGCAAGGAAACGAAAAGGUCUAUGCCCCAGCUGAUGAGCACCAAUACGAUAAUGAAGGGCUAAAAGAGGGCGGUGAUUUGAAUGGAUUCUAGGAAAAUGGUAAACAACAGUUUCAGGGGCUAAACGUAGCCAAUCCUCAUUACACAAGCAUUUGUCUAGCUGUUUAUGAAGGGAUCCUCUAGACCAAGUAAAAGAAGGACCGGUAAAACCAAGAUCACAUAACUGAUUCCUGUGAAACCAAUCUCUGAACAAAUUGCACAUCAAUCUCCUCCUCUUCUUUCCGUAGAAUUCAUAAUUGUAUUAAAAUCUCCCCCAAUAAUCCAGGGGCCUUGAGUAUUUAUUGCAAUAUUGUCUAAUAAUGGCCAAAGGUGUUGUCUCACUAUACGCACUGGACUUGCAUAUACCAUCGUUACCCAACAGGAAAACAACCCGAGUCUGGAAACCCGGCAAUGAAUAAAUUGUCUAUUAUUCACAACCACGUCCACUUGGAUACCAUCAUUCCAUAGAAGCCAAAUACCAUCAGCAAAGCCAGUUGCCUAAACCCUGUGCGAAUUAGAAAAGCCACAUUCCUUAAUGAAGACAUCAGCCCUAUUGCCAUUGAUGUGAGACUAAAAAAGAGCCACCAGGUUUGGCUUAUAACACAUUACAAGUGUUUUGAAAUACUGAAGGAAGCCUUUUGAUGUUGUCCCUUGACAGCUCCAGAACAUAUGAGUACACAUCAGGAAAUAAAAAAGGAGUAGAAAGGUAUAAACCUUACCCAUCAGGGGUAUCAAUCAUCAGCAUAAGAUCUAGGCUAUCCUAAAAUUCAAGAGAGCCAGCAGAUUCUGACUCUUCUUCAUUUUCCUGACUAUUUCCUGUAUAGUCACUAUCAUUAGAAUCAUCAUCCGAAACUCUCAUAUUUACUUCUUUCCCACUAGGUGGGUCACUAGAGUAAACUACUACUUUUUCUAACUUGUCCUCAAUUCCAGUAGCUUUGGAAUAAAAAUGCAACUUAUGCAUCCCAUCAGAACUCUCCCCUUUCAAACUCGUAAAGGCAACAACAGUAUGGUUCUGUGGGUUCAGGCUAGUUGUCACAGGUACAAGGGAGUCCUGGGGCGUGACCAAUUGGCUAAGGUUUUGUUGUGUACGUGGUGAAGGCGUUUGCAUGGCUUACGGGUUACGUGUGUAUAGGCAUGCAAAAGGGCAUUUUUUGUUCUGGUGGUGGGGCCUUUUAAUGACAGUGUAUGUUUCUUAUUCCCAGAGGGUAAAAUCGUAAGGGACUUGGCCUUUUGGGUUUGAAAAGUGUUAUUUUUAGGAAUUGGUGCUUGUGUAUCGGGAAAACGGGUAGGUUGACUUUCAGGCAUGGGCAUGGUAUUAUUGGAAGUAAAGUUAUCUUCAAGGUUGUCAGCAUUCAUAUGGGGACCAAAUUUUGAACCGUUAUCAAUCAUUCCAUUUUCAGUGAGAUUCUGUCUAGAAACCUUGGCAUUUUCCUUUCGAAAACGAUUGUUGCCUUUUUUGGUCACCGCCAUCCAAGGGCCAAACCUAGGGUUUGCUGGUUGCAGUGGAGGUUCCACCUCUACAGAUUGAUCAGUAGGCACAUUUAUGCCCCUCUCCGUUGCUUCAUUUCCUCUUUAAUCAAAGCAGGAAGCACUAAGAUGACCAUAUUUGCCACAUACAAAUCAUAUAGUGGGUAAGCUUUCAUACUCGACUUUUUGGAUCUUGCUGUCAAGAAGGAACUAGGAGCACAAUGGUUUAUCCAAUGCAACUUCAACAGCAAUUCGAGCAAGCUUACUCCGAGUAGUUGACUCAGUGUUGUAGUCAAUGCGAACAACGUUUCUGAUUACCUGUCCCAGCAGGCGUAGCACCUUCUUAUGGUAAUAAUGUAGUGGCAUUCUAGGGAGACGAAUCCAGGCUACGAUGGAAGAAAUCUUCUCAUUUGCGCUAUCAAAAUGAGGUGACCAUGCUUGAAUCGUUAAAUAGUGGCCAAGCAUAAUCCAUGGUCCUUACGUUAACACAUGCUGAGCAUCUGAAACUGUUUUAAACCGGACUAGGAAAUAGUUAUUCUCCAGGUCUAUCACAGAAAAACCAUUAGACAUACCCCAUAAGGCCUCCAGGCAGCUACACAGAACUUUAUAAACAAUAUUCCUUCCCAGUAAUUUCACAACCACCGUUGAUUGCCAGGGUUUCACUAAUUGUGAGUGGAUCUUCCAAGAAAAGAUAUGGAUGGCAGAACCCCUUCCUUUUCGACGACGACGACGUCUCCUAUGUCAAAUUCCAUAUCCUCGUCCUUGCCCAUUAGUUCCUCCUUCAUAGCCCGCUGCUCCAUUAAUUUGCCUUUGAACGAAACGGGAGGUGGGUUAUCCCCAUCCACACCAUUCUCCUUAAACUUGGCCCUUUUCAUAGAUCGGUUGGCUUCAAGCGGUGGUGAAGAACUUUUCUUCAUACUAGAGUCCAUUCUUGAGACGUUUAUUAUACUAAUAUUCUUCUUAUUAAUGGAUCACAUAGGUAUUGAUUUUAUUGCAAUAUGAAUCUUGAGUUAAUUAUAGUUUCAUAUUUUUUUAUUGUCAUUUCAUUUGAGUUACCAAUGGGCGGGACAUACAUUUGUAGUCAAGAUUACCCAAUAUCUUAGUGGAAACAAUUAUGAGCAAUGAGAUUAUAGAUUAACAAUAUAAAAUUUAUACAACACAUUUCUUAAUGGGUUUUCAGUACUUGAUCAUAGAAUUAUCUGGCCAGAGUGUGUCAACAUAAUUAAUAUGUUGAAAAUGGUCAUUAGAAAAAAUCAAUAAAUGUCAAGGAACAAGAUGUAAUUAAAUUGAUUGAACAGUUGAGAUAUCAAUUUAAUUUGCGAUGUGGUACAAAUGAUUAUUUAGUAAGGAAAUCAAUGUGGCAUGGGUGAAAUUAUUAUUUGAGAACACUAUCCUAGAUAGCAUACAAUUAUGGAAGUCAAUUCCAAAUUUUUAGUAGAGUAAAUUUGGAAUUAAAUAAUUGGGCUAGUUUAAUUACAGGCUUAAUUAUUGUAGCUACUAUUGUAUGUACCCAUAUGAUCCCCGAGUUAGCUCAUUUAAUUGACUGCACCACUAUUGAAUUAAUAAACAAGAUAACUAGCUAUUUGGGUUAAAAGCCUAAAUAUAUUAUUUAGUGGGAGGCUCCAUUUAAUACGCUUGUGUGUAAAAGGCCUUGUGUUAUUUUAUAAGGUGGGCUCCUAUAACAAGAACAGGUAACGCGACUUUUGGUUUUAUUAUUUUUUAAUUUAAAUCAAAUUUGAUUUAAUAGAAUUUAAAAAAUAUAUAUAAAUAUGGAGCCUAGGGUUUCCACCAAAUAGAGAUAUAAAAAGACUUGUUUUCUCUAAAAGGAGACAGUAGCCACAAUAUACAAAUUAGAGAAAAAAAGAUUUUUUCUCUCUAUCUUUGAGAGAAAAAAAUUUUCUCUUGCUAGUUGUUUUUAGUAGUGAUAAAGGCGCCCGCACGUCAAGUGCAUAUCAAACUUAAGUCAUAACCUAGAAGAUCAUUGGUGACGAAUCAAAAUCUAACAAGAUUGAUGGAGACAAAUCGUGAUCUGAAAGCCUAGAUUACUUCAGCAAAAAAAGCAAAGGUACAAUUUUUAGAUUAUGGUAAUUUUAUAUAUUGUAUGAGAAUUGUGAUCCAAAUAUUUCUAUUGAAAAAUAUUUUUCAAACCAACAAUUUUGACCUAGAAAAAAUGCAUAUGAUCUCAUAAAACAUAGACAAGAAUUUGCCAGUUUUCUCUAUUUUCCCCUAGUCUUCUUCAGAAGACAACUCUUGUAAUUAGAAUCACUCAAUUGUAAAUGACAACGAGCAUUUUUGUUAUACCUAAAACUAUCAAGCAUAAGAAAAGUUGUCAUAAUUUUUUCUUGUCAUCUAGAGAUACUUAACACACUUGAAGAAUUUUUUUUUUCUCUCAUUUUUGACCCCUUGACAUAUUUUAUACUCUCAUGGGCUUUUUCUAUUUCUUACUCAACUUAUUUUAAUUAAUUUUGAACAAUCAAUAUAAUAAUAUGAGCACAACUUCGAAUAUAAAAGUAAAUCUCCAUCACACAUCAAAGCAUUUUUUAAUUGCAGUUGACUUUUUAACAUUGCAACACAAAUAUCAUUACUUGUUUAGAGUUAUUGAGAAAAAAAGAAAAAAUCUUUUUUUCUCAAUAUCCCAUUCACACAAUAAUGAUAAUAUUUUCUUAGCCAAGGCAACCACAGUGUGUGUGGAGUUAGCAUUUCACAAAAAUUAAACAUUCUUUUUUAUAAAUUCUAUCAUUUAUCAACGAAAGUGUUAUUAAUUCAGUCAAUUUUUGUCAAUCCGAACUUGACAAAUUCAUAUAGGAUAUUACCACACUAGUUUUGCUCGAAUUCUAGACCCAAUGUGAUUGAGAGGUGUAUGAAAUUGGCUGAAAAUUCUUUCUUUCUUUUAAUAAUUUUGAAUAGUUGUCAUAUUCUACACUUCUUGACCACUAGUUUAACAAAAUUAACCAAAAAAUUGCCAAAUCACUUUAGAUGACCUAUAUUUAUCCAUGCACUAAUCUAUCAUGAUUCAUGGAUAGCAUGUGAUGUGCUCAUAAUUUAUCUAUUAUUUUAAUGCUUCCAUAACUUAAUUUUAUGUUAAAUUAUAUUUUAUUAUAUUAAUUUUUAUAUUUUGUCAUUGUAGGAAUAUUGGGAAUAUUUAAGUGAAAGAAAGCAAAAAGGGGAAACAAAUUGGAGCUUAAUGGAAAGAAUUGCGGAUUGUGGAAGAAAAAAGGGAAAGAAAUAAAAAUUAUAAAUUAAUGAAGAUUUAAUUAACCAAUUUUAAGCAUGCAUGCACGUGGGGAGCAUUAUAGAACUAAUUGGCAAUUCAAAUGGUAAGUUAAACGUGCAUGGGCUUAAAAGUGGGCUGGAUUUGUUUUGUUUUGAAAUCCUUUUCAUUUAAGGAUUUGGAAGUGGCGCAACAAUAUAAAAAGAAAAGUGAAGAGGGCAGCCGCACAAUUGGCACAAAUAUAGAAAAACUGAGAGCAAGAAAAGAACAAGAGAAGCCGUUGUAAAUCCGAGAGCAACAAUUUGGAGGAGUCAAUUGCAGAAAUUGAAGUGAGAUAACUUCUUGAGUUUUUCUUUCCCUUUUCUCUAUUAUCUUACUUGAAUGUUUCCAAUUAAAUUAAUGGAUUCUCUUUAUAUUCCUAUGAACUAAUUUAUUUACUAGGGCUACGAUGUAGCCUAACUAUGAAGAUUUAAUUCUAUAAAUUUAUGUUAUUUUUAAUUUAUUAUUUCAUGGUUGAGUGUUCAUUAUUGUGCUUAAUGCUUUUAAAUAUCUAGCCAAUAUUUGAAUGAUUUGAGGAUACAUAAUGAGACGGAGAGGAGAUUUAUGUAUUUUUGCUAUGUGUAAUGGAUGCCAUGAAUUGAACGAAAGACAGAGAUGUGCCAAAGUGAUUCGUGCAGUUUUUCUAAGAAUUUCCAUGGAGCUUAAUGAAUAUUUGCAUAUUUAUAUUCACAUAGAGAUAUAGUGGGUCAAUGUGUGAAGAUAUUUUUAAUAUUACUCGAGAGAGGAUAUUUAAUGGAUUAGGGAAAUUCACUGUCAACAUGGGUAGUAAAUUUUAAUAGCAUAGAUGGAGGAUUAAAUUGGAUUGGUUAUGGUGAAAUUUGAUGUCCUAGUGUCUUAAUCUCUUGGUGAUUUCUAUUACUGCAUGUGUCUUUAUUUAAUUUUUAAUUAUUUUAUUUUUUUUAAUUUUAAUCUAAAUUCGCUUAUUCGAUUGUUCAAAUAAAUUGGGGUUAGAAUAAUUUCGCUAACUAAUAGGAUAUAAUCCCCCCCAAAAAAUCCCCCUCUUUCACAAUAGAUUCCUCCUUAAAUACUCUCUCUCUCUUCUCUUUUAGAGUUCUAUUUAAAAUAAAAUACUAAUAUCUUAAAUAUUAAAUUCGUAAUUACAAAAAUAGCCAAAAAUACAAAACACGUUAAACUAAAAACUGCAGGUCCGCAGUUGACAGCACGCGCCCACGCCUUAUCAAUAAAGUUCUUCUAACUCUCUAAAUUUCUCCAAGAGAACAAUCAUCUUUAAACAUCAUCUUAUAACUCAAUUUUAUCACGAAUCAAUAGAAUUGCACCUACAAAAGUAAAACACAAGUAAAUCAUUAUUAUUAAGUGCAAAACAUCGAUAUUAAGGGAAGUAAACAAUGCAAAACUAGUGCAUAAAUUGCACUCUAACAAAUUCCCCCACACCAAGAUGAUGCUUGUCCUCAAGCAUAUAACUCAAGAUUAAUCCCAAAUCUCCACUAAAUUCUCAUCUCAACUCAUCCAAAAACAAUUUUAAGCAAGCAUAACUCAAGAAAUUAAGUCGUUCAACGUUCGAGAGACAAGGAUUUUAAAGCAUAGAAUCUCAUAAGCUAGAAGAAAAACAUUUAACCACCAAGAAGAUCUAUUCAAAAUUCAAGUGCAACAAGAUUUAAUAGCCCUCUCAUUGACUUCACUCCAUGCACUCAAAGUGUUUAGGGUGUCAUUUAUUCACUCAAAUCAAAUCAAAGAAUGCUAUUACCAUAAGCUUGCUCAUAUAUCACAUCUCAAUCCACAAAACAUGAAUAAAAUGCAAAAAUCUAAGGGUCUUAAAAGGGUUGUAAUGGGGUUAAAUGGGUUAAAUGAAAAAGAAAGGUUUACGAAAAAAAAAAAGAGAUCAAAAUGAGAAGAAUGAACUCAUUGAAUGAACUUAUGAUAUCAAAAUGCUUAUUUCUACUCAAGUCACCAAGAAUGUAAACAUUUUUUUUUUCGAAUCAAACAAAAGAAACGAACCUUGCACAAUUUAAUUCAAGCAUAAUGCUUGUUGAUCUAAUUGAAAAAGCAACAAAAUAUAUCCACACAAUGAGUCCAAAAAUCUCCUUAAAUUGAGGCUCAAAAAGAAGAAAAAUGGUUAAGUAGACGGAGAGAAUUAGAUGGGUAAUGGUUAAGGCUCAAACAAAGGUAGCAAAUAAAGGUCUUCGGGUAGAGAAAAAGGAAAAUGCCAGAAUAGAAAAAUGGUAAAUGGUUUGCCCUUAUCAUUUUAAUGCCUAAAAUCCCGUAAUGUGGCUUCAACAUGCAUAACAAAGCAAGUUCUAGAAUAAACAAACUAGGAUUGAUAUUCACAUAACAAAAAUAAUUAGAGCAAAGUGGUUGCUCAUAGGCUCAAAUCCUCACAAAGUUGGUAAAUUUGCCAUCAAAUCAUGUACACUCUUCAAAUGAAUCAACCAUCAAUAGUGGUGUAGAAUGAGAAGAAUGUAUGAGUGAUAUAUAAAAGGAAAGGUAAAAAUGAUAAGAAGUGAGAAAGAUGAAAAGUGAAAGAUAAAAUGUGAGUGAUGAAAGAGUAUGAUAGAAUAAAAAUAGAUGUAAAUAAUUUGAGAUAGAUGGGAAAAAAAAAAGUAGUGAGAAAUAAAAGAAAAGAAAAAAUAAUAAUAUAUAAAGCAUACUAACUCCAAAAUCAUUUAAGGACGAGUAGAGUGAAAAAAAAAGAUAAGUAGAGUGAAAACAAUAAUUCUAGACAUCAAUAAUGCAAAAAUCCCUCCCCCACACCAAGAACUUACAUUGUCCCCAAUGUAAGAUAAUCAAAGCUCACAUAAAAAUUAAAGCAUAAGGAUAAAAGAUUAAAGGCAAAAACUUCCCUGAAUUGUGAGCUUUGAUCCUCAUAACGUCUAUGGGCUUGGCGGGAAUGGUGGGAUAAAUCCCACACUCUUGAAGUAUGCGGCCAAAUUCUUCUCCAUCUUGUCACGGAUUUCGAUUCACGCGGCUGGAAUGCAGGUCGUAGGCUGGUUGCGGACUAUUGCUGCUCGACUAGAGCUUGCGGGUACACGGCUGUUGGUUCAGUUGCGCGCUGAUGGUUGUGCUGCGCAGGUUGGUGCUGGUUGUGCUGCGCGUGCGGGCUGGGACUGAUGCUGCGAACUGGUGACGCUGGAUCUGCGUGCUGCGGCUGUUGCUGUGCGCUGGGGGAUUGCUGGUGCUGCGCUGGUGACGCUUGUUGGGUUGCGUGCUCGGGCUGGAGCUGGUUCGCGCUGCGCGCUGGUUCUGUGUUGCUGCGUUGCGCGCGGCUGGAGCUGAGAAUCUGCGUUGCUGGGGCUUGCGUUGCGGGUCUGUUGCGUGCUGCUCGUCUGUGUUCCGCGUGCGGAACGGUGGUCGAUGCUGGUGCUGCGCGCGCGAGGCUUGCUUUGCGCGCUGCUAGGCUGCGAGACGCGGGAUAGUGCUCGAUGCUUGCUAGUUCAGGCAGGCUGGUUUGCGUUGCAGGUGGGACUGAUGCGGCUGCAGCUGGUUCUGCGCGCUGGAGCUAAUGGGUUGGGUUGCUGCGGGAAAACGAAAAUCAACACUGAAUUUUUUUGAAUUAGGGAUUUGUGAACAGUGAUUUUUUAUUUUUUUUUUAUUUUUUUAUUUUUAGUGAUGAAUCACUUUGAGACACUAAAAAUUUCAGAAGUAUUUUUCUAAUAAGUACGUGGGCACGUCUUAUAAAAAAUUUUCUUCUGACCAAAAUAAGCAAACACAUUAAAAAAAAUUUUUUUUUUUUUAAUCACUUUGAGACACUAAAAACUUCAGAAGUACUUUUCUAAUAAGUACGUGGGCAUGCCUUAAAACUAUUUUACUUUAAAAAUUUCAGAAGUACUUAUUAGUUAAAACGUGGGCACGCCUUAUCAAAAAUUUUCUUCUGACCAAAAUAAGCAAACACAUUAUUUAAAAAAAAAAUCUGAAUCAAAAUUAAAAGAAGAUAUGACAAAAACCAAAAUAAAUAAAUCAUUUGGGUUGCCUCCCAAAAAGCGCCUUUGUUUUAUGUCUUUGGCUAGACACAUUUAUGCAUCAAUCUCCAUAAUUGGGACUCUCGAGAGCCACAUCCUCCACAAUAUUCACCGAAAAACCUUCAUAAAAAGGUUUUAAGCGAUGACCAUUAACCUUAAAAACUUUGUCAGAGGUCGGACUCCGAAUCUCAACUGCACCAUGAGGAAAAACAUUAGUAACAAUAAAAGGUCCAACCCAGCAAGAACGUAAUUUACCCGGAAAAAGUUUAAGCUUAGAAUGAAAAAGAAGAACUUUUUGACCAACAGAGAACUCCUUUCUCAAAAUCAUUCUAUCAUGAAAUGUAUUCGUCUUUUCCUUGUAAAAAAUUUCCUGCGCUAUAGGGUUAAUAACAUCCACAGAAAAUACCGAAUGUUCCUCACUAGGAUAUUUCAUGGUAGCAUUCAUAUUGAAUUCUAUAACCUCUUCAUCAAACUCCAUAGUGAGAGUCCCUUUAUGUACAUCCAUUUUAGUCCUAGCAAUCUUAAGAAAAGGUCUUCCUAGCAAAAUUGGGACAGAAUUAGAGGAGUUAUCAUCUUCCAUAUCAAGUACAUAAAAAUCAGCAGGAAAACUAACUCAUUAACUUGUACUAAGACAUCUUCUAAUACCCCAUCAGGAUAUGCAUUAGACCUAUCGGCUAGUUGAAUUAUCACGCCAGUUUCUUUUAAUGGACCAAUAUUCAAAGAUGAAUAAAUAGAACGAGGCAUGACAUUAAUAGAAGCUCCUAGAUCUAACAAAGCCUUUUCAAUUCUAACACUACCAAUUUUACAAGGAAUAGUAAACAUACCUGGAUCCUUGCACUUAGGAGGUAGUUUCUUUUGAAGAACUGCUGAAAUAUUCUCCCCCAUGUUAACUUUUUCAUCUCCUCUUAAUUUUCUCUUAGAGGUGCAUAGUUCCUUAAGGACUUUAGCAUAUCGAGGUAUCUGUUUUUAUAGCAUCUAAUAAAGGAAUAUUUACCUCAACCUUGCGAAAUGUCUCAAGGAUGUCUUUCUCUUGUUCCUCCUUCUUGGAUUUUGCAAACCGGCUUGGAAAAGGAGGAGGUAUCACAAUAGGUAGGGGUUUCGUUCUGGUGGGUUCCGCAUCAUGAGAUUGAGGCAUCAAUUCAUUCUUCUCAAGCUCAUCUUCUACAUGCUUUGUCGCUUUCUUAUUAGGCUCUUGCAACUCCGUCCCACUUCUAAGGAUGACAACACUAACGUUUUGCUUUGGAUUCACCUCAGAUUGUGAAGGCAAUCUCCCUAAUACUUGAGACUCCAGACGGCUCACUGUAGUCGCCAAUUGACUCAUUUGGUUCUCCAAGUUCUGAAUGCUUGUUGUAGUUGCCUGCUGAAAUUGUUGAGUGUUAGUCGCAAGUGAUUUAACAAUUUCUUCGAGAGAUAUACCUGACUUGGAGUUUGACUGUGGAGGUGCUGGUUGUCUUGGUGGAUACUGUUGUGGGAAUCCUGACGGCCUAACUCCAUAGCUGAAGUUGGGAUGAUCCUUCCAUCCCGGAUUGUAUGUUUGUGCAUAAGGAUCAUACCUCCUCUGAGGCAUGCCUGGAAAUCCUCCAACUGUAUUGGCUUGUUCAACGGGUUCUUCUUGAAGUGUAGGACACAUAUCAGUUGAAUGACCCAUAUUGUAACAAAUGUCACAAGUCUUCACCUGUUGCACAUUACCUACAACAAACUUUUCCACAAGAGAAGUAAGUUUAUCUAAACGUUGUUCAACAGAAGAAAUAUUUACCUCAUUCACCGUUCUUGAAGUGGCAUCUUGUCUGCUGCCAAAUUGUUGUGCAUUGGCAGCCAUAUUUGAGAUCAACUCCCUUGCUUGAGUAGGGGUCUUGUUCACCAACACGCCUCCACUAGCAGCAUCUAUCAUACUCUUAUCCAUUAAUGAUAGUCCUUCGUAAAAAUAUUGAAUAAGAAGUUGAUCAGAAAUCUGAUGCUGAGGACAACUGGCACACAAUUGUUUGAAUCGCUCCCAAUACUCAUACAAAGUCUCCCCAGGAAGUUGUCUGAUCCCACAAAUAUCUUUUCUGAUGUUGGCAGCUCUUGAAGCAGGAAAGUACUUCUCGAGGAACUGCUUCUUCAAACCAUUCCACGUUGUAAUCGAUCCAGGAGGCAAGUAGUACAACCAAUCUUUAGCUAGCCCAUCUACAGAGAACGGAAAAGCACGCAGCUUAAUCUGCUCUUCAGUCACGCCUUGUGGUCUCAUACUUGAACACACAACAUGAAACUCCUUAAGAUGUUUAUGAGGAUCUUCACCUGCAAAACCAUGAAACUUGGGUAAUAAAUGAAUAAGACCAGACUUUAAUUCAAAAUUUACCUCCAAGUCUACAUAUUGAAUGCAGAGUGGUUGUUGAUUCAAGUCUGGUUCAGCUAACUCUCUAAGAGUUCUUUCUACAGGUGCAGGUCUAUCCAUCACUUGUUCUUCCGAAUCGCUAGAUGAUUCAACUAAAUCAGGCACUGUAUCUGUUUCAGAAAGCAAAGGCGACGAGGAUCGUUGCUUAGCUCGCUUUGUCUGCUGUCUCAGCUGGCGAGCUGUCUUCUCAAUUUCAGGAUCAAACGAAAGUGUACCUGUACGAGAAGAACGAACCAUACACCGAGUAAAACGUAAAAAGGAUUAAAUAAAUGACACCAAUCCCCGGCAACGGCGCCAAAAUUAGAUGGGUGUCGAAGCCAACAAAAAUAAAUUCCUACUCUAAAUAAAUUGUGUAUAGUGAUUGAGCAGGGUCGUGUCCACAGAGAUCGGUAAUUAUUUAAAUCCUUUUGAAACGUAAAACGUAAAAUGGGGGAAUUGUUGACAAUAAUAAAAAUCAAAUUGAAAUAAACAAGAAUGCAAAUUAAAGUUGUAAUUCAAAUUGGAGAAAGCUCUGGUUGAAGGAAUUAACUCAGCUUGAUUCGACUACUGAUCAUUGAUUCAAAUAUAUAUUAUUAUUACUUAUGAAUAGACCGGUUAUAGCUAUUGAGACCCUCUAAUAGCCAAUCUCUCCUUAACUAGUCGAUAACCAAGGUACGACCGUUGGAUAUUUCCCUAAUCAAUAGACAACCCUAGAUACGAUCAUAGGAUUUAAUCAAUUGACAGCCUGAAAAACUAGAGAGACCCAAAUCCUAAUCAACACAUAUGAUGAUUCAUUUAAAUUAGAUUAUUUAUUCUCACAACACAACUCUCUGCUAUGUUAUUUGUCACAAACAUUAAAUUCUUCAUACGAUGAAUCCUUUAAUUGACAAUAGAUUAAGUUGAUAAUUAAAUAGUGGCCAAUUACCUAAUUAACAAACAUAAUCAUGAAACUAAUUCAGAGAAUAAACAAAUAUCCAAAAAGUAAUAAAACAAUUAAAGCAUAAGAAAGAUCUCACAGUAGUGAUGAAUCAAAGCUUCAUUAACCUUCAACCAGAAAAAUAAGUUUAGUUCUUCAUAGAGAGAAGAGAAAAAUUAGAUCUAGGGUUUCUUCUUUUUCUCCAAUCUAAAAUCCCCCCCAAAAAAUCCCCCUCUUUCACAAUAGAUUCCUCCUUAAAUACUCUCUCUCUCUUCUCUUUUAGAGUUCUAUUUAAAAUAAAAUACUAUUAUCUUAAAUAUUAAAUUCGUAAUUACAAAAAUAGCCAAAAAUACAAAACACGUUAAACUAAAAACUGCAGGUCCGCAGUUGACAGCACGCGCCCACGCCUUAUCAAUAAAGUUCUUCUGACUCUCUAAAUUUCUCCAAGAGAACAAUCAUCUUUAAACAUCAUCUUAUAACUCAAUUUUAUCACGAAUCAAUAGAAUUGCACCUACAAAAGUAAAACACAAGUAAAUCAUUAUUAUUAAGUGCAAAACAUCGAUAUUAAGGGAAGUAAACAAUGCAAAACUAGUGCAUAAAUUGCACUCUAACAGAUAUACAAUCUCUGUGGGACGAUACUCUACUCUUCAUUAUAUUACUUGUGCUGACUAGUACACUUGCUAAUUUACGCAUCAAAUUUUUGCCGCCGUUGCCGGAGAUUAUUUGGAUUAGUAUCGAUACCAAAACCUUAGUUUAAUUUGAAUUUUAUUUUUAUUAUUUUUAUUUUUAUUUUCAUUUUCUUGUCUAAUUUUAUGAGACGUUCAAGAAGUUUUGAUUUAUUGCCUUUUGAUUCAGAGAUUGAACGCACUUGUAGAAGGCUCAAUAGAGAAAGGAGAGAAGCUUUACAGGAGCAACAACUAAUCAUGGCUGACGAAGCAUUGCACAGAAAUGAGGAUGCGAGACCUUUAAGAGAUUAUGUUGUGCCUACAGUUAAUGGAGCUCGUUCAAGCAUUGCACGCCCUGUCGUUCAAGCCAAUAAUUUUGAAAUUAAGCCAGCCAUAAUCCAGAUGAUUCAGGCGUCAGUACAGUUUGCUAGGAUGCCAAAUGAUGAUCCAAAUGCUCAUAUUGCAAUUUUUUUGGAAAUUUGUGACAUAUUUAAGCAAAAUGGUGUUUCAGACAAUGCUAUCAGGCUAAGGCUUUUUCCGUUCUCACUGAGGGAUAAAGCAAAAGAGUGGUUGAACUCACUCCCUGCUUGAACAAUCACUACAUGGGAUGGUUUAGCAUAGAAGUUUUUAGCAAAAUACUUUCCUCCAGCAAAAACAGCCAAGUUGAGAAAUGACAUCACAACCUUUGCUCAGUUCGAGAUGGAAUCAUUAUAUGAAGCGUGGGAAAGAUACAAAGAACUACUAAGAAAAUGCCCACAUCUUGGUCUACCAGUUUGGCUUCAAGUACAAACAUUUUAUAAUGGUUUGGGAUCCAAUACCAGAACAAUGAUUGAUGCUGCAGCAAGAGGAACGUUAAUUGGAAAAACACCAGAACCAGCUUAUGAAUUAUUGGAGGAGAUGGCAUCCAACAAUUACCAGUGGACUUCAGAGCGAUCAAUGCCAAGGAAAAUUGUAGGAGCCCAUAAUAUUGAUGUUGUCACUGCUUUAUCUGCACAGAUGACUGCUUUAUCUAAUAAGUUAGAGCACCUAAAUGUCAGUGCUAUUCAAACUCAUGUGUGUGAAUUAUGCGGAGGGAACUACACCAGUGUCAACUGCCAAGUUGGAAGUCCUUUUGUGUCGUCAUCUGCUGAACAAGCUCAUUAUGUGUCAAACUUCCAGAGACAACAACAUAACCCAUAUUCUAAUACCUACAAUCCUGGCUGGAGAAACCACCCGAAUUUGUCAUGGAACAACACUCAAAAUACAUUGGCACCACCUCCAGGGUUCCAACCACAAGAAAAGAAGUCAAACUUAGAAGAUGCUCUUAUCCAGGUUACAACAAACAUGUCUCAAUUCAUGACCAAAACAUAGACAACUUUUCAAAAUCAAGUUGCAUCAAUUUGGAACCUCGAGGUACAAGUGGGUCAGAUUGCAAACUUGCUAUCCAGUAGACAACAUGGCUCUCUGCCAAGCAGCACCGAGACAAAUCCAAAGGAGCAAGUUAAUGCAAUUAUACUUCGGAGUGGUAAACAACUUGAUGAGCCGCGAAAAGAAGCAAAGAAAAUUGAUGAAGAACAAACUGAAGACACCACUAAGGUUUCAAAGGCAGCAAGUUCAGAAAUACCACAACCUAAACUAGCAACACCAGUCAAGGCUUAUGUUCCUCCAAUCCCUUUUCCUCAGCGUCUCCGGAAAAAUAACAUAGAUAAGCAAUUUUUAAAAUUUCUUGAUGUGUUUAAGAAAUUGCAUAUUAACAUUCCUUUUGCAGAUGCUUUGGAACAAAUGCUGCUUUAUGCCAAAUUUAUGAAAGAAAUGUUGUCCAACAAGAGGAAACUUGAGGAGCAUGAAACUGUAAUGCUGACUGAGGACUGCACCGCCAUCUUACAAAAUAAAUUGCCACCAAAGUUGAAAGAUCCAGGGAGUUUUAAUAUUCCAUGCACUAUUGGAAAAUGUUAUUUUGAUAAAGCUUUGUGUGAUUUAGGUGCAAGCAUUAAUUUGAUGCCUUUUUCUAUUUUCAAGAAAUUAAGUUUGGGUGAACCUAAGGCAACAACUGUUACCCUACAAUUGGCAGAUAGAUCUAUAAAGUACCCAAGAGGCAUAGUUGAGGAUGUGCUUGUGAAAGUUGACAAGUUUAUAUUCCCUGCAUAUUUCAUUGUCUUAGAUAUGGCCAAAAAUAUAGAGUUACCUCUCAUUCUAGGCCGACCAUUCUUAACUACAGGAAGAGCUUUGAUUGAUGUUCAGGAAGGGAAAUUGAUUUUAAGAGUUCAAAAUGGGCAAGUCAUUUUUAAUGUGUACACACCUAUCAAGUAUCCAACUGAACUCAAAAAUUUUUUUCAAGAAGACACCAUGGAUAGAAAAAUGGCCAAAUCAUUAAAGGAUAAAGAUCUAUCUGACCCUCCUGACAUUUAUACAAUACAUAAGCAGUUUAUUAAUGAAGAUCCAUCUCCUCAUUUUUGUGGGAAGAGGCCUAAUUGCAAGAAAUUUGUGCAAGGUCCAUCCAUAUUAUCUCCUUGCAUCCACGAGCCUCCUUGAAUAAUCUUUUCAAAGACAGUCAAGCUAAUGACUAUAAAUUAAGCGCUUCUUGGGAGGCAACCCAAGCUUUCUAAACUUUAUUGUUGUCAUUUUUAUCUUUUCUUAUUUCUUUUAUCUUUUCUUUUACUUAUUUUAUUUUGUUUUAUCUAGGUUUUUGCACAAGUUUGGGAGUUGGUGAACAUUGACUUUUCACAUGCCUUUCAAUGACUCAACUGCAAGGUCACAUCUUCAAGUGCAAAACUGGGGGAGUUUUUCUUUUCCUUUUCUUUUUCUUUACAUUGAGGACAAUGUUUAUUUUAAGUUUGGGGGUGGGAAUAUUUUCUUUAAUUUUUUUUCAAAAAAAAGUUUUAAAAAGAAAAAAAGAAAAUUUAAUGCCUAUGAUGAGUUUAUGGUUGAAAAUGAAUAUGGUUCUGAGAAAGGGAUGAAUAUUGUCUUAGUUUAUACUUGAUCCUUAUGUUAGUUUCGUCUUGAUUGUGAUUCUUUAAAUAUCUUGCGCACUUAUAUCGAUUCUUUUAGAAUUUUGACUUGAGAUUUGAGAUUGAUACAGCCUGAGUUGAGAAUUUUAGAUUGAGUAAAUGACCGUUUGCCUCGAUUCUACAUUACUUAAGUUUACCCAGGCACCAUAGUCAGAAAUAGCUACCUACAACCCUUAAGAGUGAAGCUAUCCUUGAGUAAUUUGGGCCUAUAUACCACCAGUAUGUAGAUAAUAAUCUACCAUGAGAAGAAGGCUACCUUAAGGGGUAGAGUGAAAGCUCCUGACUAUGAAAAAAAAAUGAAAAGAAAAGAAAGCAUGUGCUUCAAGAAAAAUAAAAAGAAAAUGCAAAUUUAUGCCUGCGAAAAAAAAAAAAAAAGAUCAAGAUGAUGAGGUUAGUUUGACCUACUCUGUUUAUUAUUCGAGACAAUGGCUGUUGAUAUUAAGGAAUAAGUCACUCAUACUUCCGUGAUUUAGUAGAUACAGACUAUAUGAAUAAAUCUUAAGGAUUUAUUUAAGUCUGUGAUUAUCUUUUACUUUUAACACGAAAAAAAAAAUUGUGUCAAAAAAGGAGUAUGUGUAUCUUGAAAAUGAAUUUGUGUGACUAUUUAUUAAAACAAAGAGAUCUCUCUCGCCAUUUCCUUAAACUGAGGAGUAAGAAAGUAUUGUUAUUCUUUUUCCUAUAUAUUAUUUUAUUAUUUUUACUAAAAAAUUAUAGUGCUUAGAGUUGUUCCUUUUAAACUGGGAAGCCAUACUUAGUGAAUUGCUGGGGAAGAUUAAUUUACUCAAAAGAAUUUUUUCUUUAAUUAGGAAUAUAAUUGCAUUUAAUCUUGUAUAUAAUCUACUUAUUUAAAGUAAUUUAUGUGAUGAAAAUAUAGUUAUCGUAUUUUAUUUAAAGCUCAUCAUGGGUGCAAAUCAAAAGCUUUAUUGAGGGGGCAAAUAAAAAAUUUGCUUGAAAUUUAAAAUUAAUAUUCUAGAAAAAUAAGAUUUAUUAGGACAGCUGCCGCCCUGGUUAGUCCCUAUCUAUGUCUCAAAUAUUUCAUUGCGCGAGCAUAAAACAAUGGAAAGUAAUUUAAGGCACAGGUUGUAUAUAUAUUAAUCUCAAGAAAAUGAGUAAUUAAUAUGUGAAUAGAUAUUUAAUGAUAACCAUUUAAGGACCUGUAUUUGAUUUAUUUUGGUUCUUUUUUAUUUAUUAAUUAAUAUAGGAAACUGAUUGUGUCAUACAGUAUCUGUAAUGCCUUUUUAAGUUUAUUUCUAAAUCAAAAUAAAUCGUGAUUAUUCAUGUAUCAUUGAAAUUUUUAUAAUUUAUUCUGUGUUAGUUCAAAAAGAGUGUGUUGGGUGGUAAUUCAUAUCAAGACCUAGUAUGUAUGGUUUAGCUUUUUCACUAGCUACAGCAGCUCUGAAAACACUUGUAAUUAUAAUUUGGGAAAUUAUCAGUCAUAUACCCUUAAAUGACACCCGUAUCAAACAUGUGUGAACACUUUUCAAGUGUAUCACUCGUAUAUCCUAAGUUGACAAAACACCUCUGCCGUCCACCAAUUCGUUAACUUCCGUUUGCAAGCGCUAACAUCGUAAGGGUAAUCUAGUCUUUUAAGAUUGACGAAACUUUGAUUUAAAAAACCGACAUGUCAUCCCAUUUACCUAGUAACAAAUGACAUGCCAUAUGAUAUAUAUUGAUAAAAAUGACAUAUCAUCCCAUUUAUCGGAUAAUUGUUAAUAAUUGCUAAAAAAACUACUUUACAACCGAAUCUACUCCUCCAAAAUUUAACCUAAAUUUUUGGAGAUCUACUCCUCCAAGCUUCAAUUGGAAAUUUUUAUGGUAUAAUAUGUAUAAUUGUAAAUAAUAUGUUGUUAAUAAUUUUUAUGGUAUAAUAUAGAUAUUUUUUUAUGAAUAAUUGUUAAUAAUAUAUACCAUUAAUAAUUUAUUUUUUUAAUCAAAAAAAUGUAUUGUUAAUAACAAAAUAAAAAAAAUUGUGUAUUGAAAAUUUACAUUAAUUUUUGGGGCAAAUUUAUAUUUUUACCUCAUUUUGAGUUUCAAGGGCAAAAUAGUCAAUUUGUCAUAAUUAUGUUAACUUUCUAACGGAAGUUAACGGAUUGGUGGAUGGCAGAGGUGUUUUGUCAACUUAGGGUAUACGAGUGAUACACUUAAAAAGUGUUCACACGUUUGAUACGGGUGUCAUUUAAGGGUGUAUGACUGAUAAUUUCCUUUAUAAUUUUGAAGUUGGGUUGAUUUUACUCAACAUGUGUUUUAAUUCAAAAUUCAUAUUAUUUUUAUUAUUUUUAUCAAAAUUGUUACUUAAAAGUUACAUUUACAAAAUACCACCAGCUCUUAUUUCGUGCCUAACUAGAGCUUCCUUUUCAUAAUAAUUAUGACUUUGAAGCCACAGCACCACACACUACCAAAAUUUCCAUUUUGUUCUAAGAAUUUGUAUUUUGCAAAGUUCAUUGGCUUUCUUAUGUUACCAGCUUCCAGUGUCCGCCAAUGCUGCUCUUCUUUAAUUUUCUCAAAAAAUCAACACAAGAUGCACAACUUUUAAAAUCAUAUAUUUGAGCUAAACUUACUUUCGAUCUUCAAAGUCAGGCAUUAAUUCUCAGUUGGUUUCGUAUAUUUAAAACUAAUAAAAAAAAAAUUUAGAUUAAUGAAAAAAUUAACUUUUUAACCUAAAAAAUAGAUUUUUAAACACUAACAAAAGUAACGAUAGAAAUAUUACGAACUAUAUUUAGAAAUGCAAGUACUGAUCUAAGAAUUGAUGUCCAACCCUAAAGACUAAAUGGUAAUUUACCCAAACAGUAAAGAUUUAUAUUACGUUAAUGAUGUUUCCUUGCUAUUCAGAUGCUUCUCAAUUUUACCUUCAUUUCUUUUCUAUUGGAUGGUUAUGAUUAGAAUACCAACUUUUGAGAAAUGGGCCAUCAAGGGGAUUAAAAAAAAUAUGUUUGAUGUUUGGAACUGGAGAUGAUAGUUAAUUAAUUGGUAAAAUUUAUUAUGAUUAGUACAAAAAGUGUGAAGUUUGAAAAUCUUUUAAGGUGUGAAGUUUGAACUUAAUCUUUUAAGGAAUCAGAUAAAUGCAAGCAAAUUCUAUUGUAGCUUUCUGAUUACUUUCAGAAAUUACAGGUUACAUUUUUCAAAUUAUUAAAAAGAAAUGAAACUCAAAAGUUAAAAAGUUUUUCAUAAAUAGUUUUCAAGUAAUUUUAUUUAAAGGUCAUCCAAAUUUCAAUUCCGAGAAGGUAUGAGGUUAAAAAUUCAAUCUAAAUUUUAUCCACCACCUCCCUAGUUAUUCGAAGAUAUAUAUAUAUAUAUAAAUUACAAACUUAAAUAAAGAGGUGGAGAAAUAUAUUACUCUUGUUAUGGUUUGUAUCACGAGUAUUGGCCGCAUAGUACUUAAACCCAUCUCUUACUAUGGUUUAUAUCACAAGUAGUGGCCGUAUGGUACUUAAACCCAUCAUAUUGUUUCUUCAAACACAAACUGUAAAACUGAAAAAACACAACCCAGAUUGGCAAAUAUAUACUUCAGAAAUGCAACUAUAACUCAUUCAGGAUGAAUUGCAUAAUUACUUGUGGACUAAGGUGCUUAUAUCUGCAAUCUCAGCAUAUGUUCCACGUCCACGAAUGUGUCGCAUAUGAUCUGUAUCAGACGGAGUAGGAUUGCUGAAUUGGGUCGAUAUCCAGUCCUUUAAGCCUAAUCAGUGAUUCGACGUGCCCUUUCAGUGUAUGCAGUUCUCUCAAUCUGAAAAAAAUCAAAAUAUUGAAUGCAUAAGAGUGUACACUCCAAGAAUUAAAUUUCAGCUUUUAAGAGUAGAAAUUAAGUAAUGUAGUUUGUUAGCGUUAUAUUUAUAUGUUUUACCUAGCAAUCUCAGCUCUUCUUCUUGCUUCUUCAGCCAUCCGGCUAAGUUCUCCGUAACUGCUUCGUACACUGAACAUAUUGGAGUCACGUGGGUGCAACCCAUGGAGGGUUCUCUGCGCCUGUGCCCAUAGACGCUCACGUUCUUCUUUUCCGAAAUCUCUUUUAGUUGUGAAGGCAAUCUGCAAAAUAGCAAUUACACUAUGGAGAGUGAGCAAGAAAUUAAGCUCCAGUUCAUGAAUAAAAUAUGUUGAACUCAAGCCAUCAAUACCCUUUGUUCAAAGACAAGAUCCCAAAAAUUCCUGCUAAGCACACAUCGGAUGAAGAACUUUAUAAAAUCAAGCGGAAUGUAGAAGAUGAUAUUAUAAAGCCAAAUCACACCAGCCCAACCCCAUCCUAUUCCUUCAAUUGUAGCAAAGCUCCAGGUUGCAUAGACGGCAAUCAGUGUAGCAGUCUGCUCACAGAAUUAAAAAGGAUCAACUCGUCCCCUAUAUGUCAGAAAGGCCAAAAGGAAACAGCAUUUAUCACUCACCAGCUGAGCAACAAAGAAAGCCAGAGCAAGAAACAGGACAGGACACUCGACGUAAGACCAACUCCUUGCACGUGUCACGAAUAGGUGGGCCUGACUAAUGGAACUCACUUGCAGGUAUACUGCCGAGGCAAGUUUUCUCCAGUCGUCCACAUCCUUUUUGUUAAGACUUGAAAUGCCAAAUGUACGCUGAAUGUUGCACACUGAGUUUCAGUCCAAAUUAUUGAAGACAAUGUAAAGGCAUAUAUUAUUCUCUAUAUUAUUAAAUCAAGGAAAACGGGCAUACAUAACACCCAAAUUGGGUGACAUGAUAACACAAAAGAUAAAUCACAUUACUGGAAAGAAGUCUGUUUGGUAUGCUGUCCAAAAGAAAAUCACAGUCAUCAUUGCCAAGUAACCACCAAGAAUGCUUCCAGUUACAAAGAUCUCGGUCAAAUUCCACCUUUCUGGAUGAGGAGAUGGUCUGACUCUAUCUUUUGAUAUUGUAAUAAUAAUAGCACCUGGCAAUCAAUGUACCGGAUAAAUAUCAAUAGACAAGAAUAUUUCUUAUUUGAAAUCGAUGCACCUGGAUGAAAAAGAAUACAAACAGUUACGAUAUACAUGCUGAGUCAAGGAAAUACAAACCAUCAUUAAGAAUAGCAAUUAUCAGCACCAUGAAGGGUGGAAAGUUAAACUGCCAGAUAAGAGCUAGCAGCCUGAAACCAAACUGUCACCAAGAGAAACAGUUAAGACAUCAAGCUGAGAUAUUCAAGCUACUUUUGUGAAGACUCUUUCAUAUUCAUCAGUAGGGCAAUAAUUACUAUAGAAGAUCAAAGUUGCAAAUACCAAAUAAAUUACACCAUACUCUCCUACAUAGUAUUUGAAACAAGCAGCAAACAACUUACUCCAAUAUGGAUGGUAAUGGAGACUGCAUAUAUCUGCGACAAGAAAGAAAUUAAUUAAGCAUCAAAAAGUGAGGACAGAGCAAGAAGGAAUCAACUAAUUCAAGUAAACAAUGCUCGUGUUCUUGUUUCAAUUUUGCAAAAGUCUGAGACAGUGUAAAGAAGUUACCAGUGCCCACAAAAAUCAAGUUUUCAUGAACAGCACCACCGCCAAAGUCUUGGUUUAUUAUAUUAUUUAUUAUUAUUUUACCACAGGCUCUAAAAGUAGUUUACAGAACAGUGACAUGUUAUUUCAGUCUCAGUGCUUUCUUGACCACUAGGCACUCAAGCAGGGUAAAAUGCAAGCUUUAAAUUAUUAGUUUGUUUGUAGGUUAAGGAAUGUGGAAUAGAUAGAAUUAGAUGGGUUGUGAAUUCCCUCACACAAAUCCCAUCCAUCUCUACACUAUCGACUAUAGAACACCUUUUCCUUAGAAUCGAAACAAACCCUCACCGUGUAAUUUCUCAUCCUCUGGAAUAUUGCGCGACUAUUUAGAACAGCAGUAAUGAUAACAUUAAGGCCAGGUUCUGUCAGGACAAUGUCGGCAGCACUACGAGCUGCAUCAGUUGCAUCAGCAACAGCUAUGCCAAUGUCUGCUUUCUUUAGAGCGGGAGCAUCAUUGACACCGUUACCGAUCAUUCCACAGAUAUGGUUCCUAGUUUGCAAAUGCUUCACAAUCUCAUAUUUGUGCUCUAUAAAGAAAAUAAGGACAGCCGUGUAAACAAGGGUAAAAAAUAGAAAUAUGCUAUGAUUAAAAUAUAAUGAAAAGGUUGUAGGAUGUAGUCAUCCGUACAUCAAGUUCAAUAAAAGCUAUACAACACUAACUUCAGUAUGUGAUCGACUACUUAAUGCAAAUUAGGAGAUCAAGCUUCGUACCAGGGAAAACACCAGCAAACCCAUCAGCUUUCUCAAUCAACUCGUCCACCGGUAAAGCAACUAUCGACUCAUCCCUUUCCUGCCCUAAUAAGGCUGAUGAAGGAUACAUGUUGGUUCCCAUUCCAAGACGACAUCCUGUUUCUUUUGCUAUUGCAAGUUGAUCACCUGACAAAGAGGAAAAGUCAAACAGAUUGAAUAUCCUUCUUAAUGUGAUGAAAACGCCAAUUAAAACAUUCUAAAAAGGUAAAACCAUAAGAGUAUUUAAAUUCCACCAGCAAUGCAAAAGAAAACUGACAUAUAAGCAUUUUUUCAGAUAGAAGGAUUAAACAAAACCAGAAACAACAAAAUUUCUCUAGAUACAAAUGGUGCCUAAACAAAGACUAAAUAUUAAGAUUACAAAUUAGGAAGACAUAAUACAGUAAAUGGGAGAAGCACCUGUAGUCAUUUUCACGCUCAACUAGGAACACAUAAUACAAUAAAUGGGAGAAGCACCUGUGAUCAUUUUCACACUCAACCCAAGACUCAGUGCCCUUCUUAUUGUUUCUGCACUAUCAUGCCUAGGAGGAUUAAACAAAGGAAUGAGUCCAAUAAAUUGCCAUGGGCUUCCUGAGCUCUCUUUUGAUCCAUCAGGAACUUCCUGAAACCAAAUUAAUAAAUAUAGACUUUGUUAAUACAAAUUGCAAUUGAAGUAAUGCACCGCUAUAGUAAUGUGAAGAUACGACCUAGAACAAUGACAUAGGUAACUCAUAUACCUGAUAUGCCACUGCAAGAGACCGUAAUCCUCGUUCUGCGAACUUAUCAAUCACAGCAUUGAUUCUGCAUCCUAUCUCUGAUUUGUUGCGUACAAGAUUUAAAAUCUGAAAGUCAAAACAAAAGCAUAAAUUAUAUCAAAUGGCAUUUCAGAAUCCUAGAACAUACUAUUAGUUGUUGACAAUCAUACCUGCUCUGGAGCACCUUUGGUGACCCUAUGCAUUUUACCUUCACUGUCGAUAUAUGUCAGAGCUGUUCGCUUACCUGUGGGGUCAAAUGGAAGGAAGUGAACUUCUUGGAUAUCAGCCCUUGCCUUGUUUAAGGUCAAAAGCAAAGAAAUCAGUGCCAACAAAAUGAUAAGACGAAAAAUUAAGAAAAUCUUCUACAUGUUGCCUUUGAGAAUACAAAAUUUCAACAACAGUUAAGCUUAGCUAGAGUAAAAUACAUACAUAAAAUUCUAGAAUUCAUAAAUAUACCUUCUUUGGAUCAGCCAACAUUCCUACUAUAGCAGCAUCUAUUACAUCUAGGUUUUCCACUUGGGAGGCUCGAGCUGCCAUCAGAACAACAGUGUCUGCAUCCACUCCUUUAGCAAAGAUCUGAACAAUGAUCCAGGCCAAAUGUUGAAAUACAAAUUGCAAUUCUAAAAGUGAGCAAAAUUUACACCAACCUCAAUUAGAUUCUUGUCAACUGUUAAUUUGUUCAAAGUUAGAGUUCCGGUUUUGUCACAGCAAAGCACAUCCAUGCCUGCCAUAUCGACUAUUGCACUGAUUCUCUUUGUGAUAACACCCUGCAGUAAUUAGCCCAUAUAUGCUUGCAACCAUCAACUAAUGACCACUAAAAGUAACAUCAUUAUAAAUAACAACUAGGACCAACCUGCCGAGACAAUCGUUUGGAACCAAUCGCCAUUGUCACUGAUAAAACAGUAGGCAUGGCGAUAGGAAUUCCUCCAAUAAGAAGCACAAGUAAAUUAUCAAGUCCUGUGCGGUAUUCCCUGUGUUGAACCGCGUACAUGACAAUGAUCUCUAAUAUUAACCCCAGUGCAAUUGAACAUAUGCAGUAUUUUCCAACUGCAGUCAAGAUCUGUAAACAAGCCCGAGAGCAAGAGUUUCGGUGAAUGAUAAUGUGAGAUUGAACAUAAAAACAAGUCUUAAGGAAUGUGAAUUUGCAUUUUCUUGCCUUUUGAAAGUGACCCACAUGAUUUGUGGUAUCCACAAGGUGUACAGCCCUGCCAAGGAAGGUGCGAACACCAGUGGCAAUGACCACAGCUUGAAUCUCCCCUUGUUUGCACGUAGAGCCUGAAUGUACACAGUCACCAGGGCCCUUACUUACGGGAAUAGACUCGCCUGUGAGAGCAGACUGCAACGUACAAAUUGAAAGGAUUUAAAUUAAAUAGACCAACUUUACCAAAUCAAUUCAAGCAUACAAAGAUUGCAAAAGCUCACCUGAUCAAUUGUCAAUGGAUCACCUUCGAGGAGACGAGCAUCAGCAGGAACAAUGUCACCAAGCUUAACACUAAUGACAUCACCAGGAACAAGAAUGGCUGCAUCUUCCUCCCUCCACUUUCCAUCUCGAAGGACCUGAAAUAAUAUCUCCAAUUACAGAAAUAAUAGAGCCUAGAGCCACAAACUCUUCUUACAAAGUAUUAUUUUACAAAUUAAUAUGACAUAACAGUUUCUGAUUCCAAUUCUCAUUGAGUUAAGUUGACAUGAAGUUCGUAAUAAACUUAUUAGAUAUGCAUAUGCACUAAUCUUAACCUGACAACUAUUCAAGUGCAGUCAGUACCUUAGCUUGAGGAGCAAGAUGAGCCAUGAGAGCCGCGCUGGCAGCACCUGCAUUGUUUUCUAAAACGUAACAGACUGUUGAAUUGGUAAGAAGCAGGGUUGUUAUCCCAAUAAAAUCUUGCCAUUCAGGAGGUUUACCCUGCAACAAUGAAAUUCCCAACAGUAAGAUUAAAUUUAAUGAAGCCUAAAUUCCUUGUUGAAAUAUAUUUCCAUUUUGCUAUUUAUGCUUCUUUAAAUUCCUUAUUUAGAAUAUGGGUCGGGAUUCGUUUAUUUAUAUUUGGAAAAAUUUAUUCAUUUCAUAACCGGUCGAAUUCGAUUUGUUUGGGUAAGGUGGCGUUUGUUUUUUUGUCUGAAAUCUGAAUAGACCUUAAUUAGUCUGAAUUCUGAAUAGGUCUAAAUGUCUGAAUCUGAAUAAUAUGUUUGUUUUUUCGUCUGAAUCUCGAAAAAUAAGUAUUAAGUUGUUUAUUUUUUUCAACUUAAAAAGCUGAAAAUAUGUACUUUUACAUUUGUAUCCUUAUUAAAUUUGAAUGUCAAAUAAAUAAUAUAUUAAAUACCACAAUAUUUUAACAUUUAUAAGUAAAAUUAUAUUCAAGUGAAUACAUAAUUAUUUUAGAAUUUUAAUAUAUAAAAUACCAUAAAUUUCAAAUUUUAUCAUAUAUAAUAUAAGAAAGAAAAUACAGGGAUAUUUUUAUGUGGGGUAAAUAUCUAUAGGUGAGUUUUGGGAUAGACAUGAAAAAAAAUUAUAAAACAGGGAUAUUUUUGACAUUAGCAAGCAAUUGACUUAAUUCAGAUUUCUCUAUUAAGUAAAAAGCUAAAAAAAUUAGCUUAUUUUAUUAAGUCAAAAUUAUCUAAAAAGUCUCAUUAAAUUAUAAAAACAAACACCUCUAAUUAACUUAAUUAAUUAAGUUAAGUCACUUUAAGUCAUUAAGUUAAAAAACAAACGCCACCUGGUAAAUAAGCUAUUUCCAUCUAAUCUAAAUUUUAUAUCUCUAACUCAUUUAUUCAUUUAAGAUUUAUUUAAUUAAAUUACUUAGCUACAUUUAUUAAAUUUUUUAAAAAUAAAACUAUUAAGUUGAAAGGUUUGUUUCGUAACGAACUGGGAAUACGACAAAAAGAAAAGUAUGAGAUGAAUCAAAUGAAAUUUUUGAUAAUUUUUUUCGCUUAAUUUUUUUGUUUAUUAAUUUUUAUUUGAGGAUCAAUUGUAGGUAAAUAAGUUUAAAAGAGUUCAACUUGACUGCUAAUUAUAUUAAAUCAAUAUUUAUUUAUUAAAUGAAUCUAACUCCAAAUCUAUUUAUCUAAUAAAUGGUCUAAUUUAAAUCCAUCAAAUUUUAAUGAAAUUUGCUUAGAAAUAGAGCAAAAUUCGUUUUGAUACCCCUAAAUGAAUAUGCUUUGAAACUUGUUAGUCGCCGCUAGGGGUGGUUUUGGGCCCGGGUAUCGCAAUGUCCAGAUCUGGUCUGGAUGAAUUUUUAGACAUCCAGGCCACCUAGUCUAGAUUUUUAAUAUGGAUUUUGUAUUUUUUUAAUAUUAUAUAUUAUAUAUUUUAUUUUUUUAUAAUUUUAUAAGUUUAAAUUUAUUUUAAUAAAAUUUGACAUGAAAAUAUAAACUUUAAGUGUUUAAAACUUUACAUAUGCGUAAUAGAUGAGUAAAAUAAAUAUAAAUAUUUAUAUAUUUUAUAAUAUUUUAUUAAUAAAAUUCAGGUUUUGACCCGAGUCAUGGGUUUAUCAAGUGAUGUCUAUAAUCGGCUCAUCUUCAUGAAUACCCAACCACAUCGCCUAGGUGCGGUUCGUGUUUAGACCGAACGGAUAUUUUUACCACCCCUAAUCGCAGCAAGGCAAGGCAAGGACAUCCUAUAUCCUAUAAGAAGGUGAAUUUGACAUGAGGUAAUUUCAAAAGAAAAAAAAAAAUUCUGCGAAGCAAUUUCGAAAAUUCUUAAGACCCCCAAGUCUGUUUCAAAAAUUUAUAUUGAAAAAUUUCGUAAAAACCCAAUUUAGCCACGUGACCCACUUCACCCCAGUGUUAUCUGGUCAAAAUUUCAUUUUUGAUGUUGCUUACAAAUUGAGUUAAUAAAUAUAUUUUCAUUUCCAAAAACAUCAAAUAGAAAACACCAUUUUUUUUUCUAAAACAAAUUUUAAAAAUAUAAUUUGAAAACCAGUACUCAAUACUCACUCCUCCAUUUGCCAGAACAAUUGCCAUGAUAGCUGCAGCUUCCAUGACCCAUGAGAGAGGGUUCCACAUAAAUCCCAAAAACUUCAAAAUUUUACUUUCCUGGAAAACCCACCAAAAAUAAAAAAUUAAAAAUUAAAAAUUACAAUCUACAAAAAAAUAAUAUCUUACAAUCAUUAAAAAAAGUAUCUUUUUUCAUUAAUAGAACUUUCCAAUAGGAAAGCUAACAAGGAAAAGAAUGAUAAAAGUAAAAAUUACCCGUUUCUCCUCAAGCUUGUUGUAGCCGAAUAUGGAAAGUCUCUGCUCAGCAGCCUCCGUCGAAAGGCCCCCUUGACGGCACUUCAAAGACUCAAAAACCUCUUCCAUCGGCACCUUUUCCUGCAGACCAAAAACCUGAACUUCCUCACAAAACAAAAACACUUUAUAACACUGAAGAAAACGACGACACCCUCAUGAUUUGAUGAAAUAGUCAUAGACAUACUCUUAUUUUUGGAAAUUGUCAUAUAGAUAACUUUUUAGACAACUUUUUUCAGAUAAAAUUUAGUCUGGUUAUUAUAAUCAAAAAAAUAUAAUUGUCAUAAAAGAGAUCCAUGAGUCUGUGUGACGAUUUUUCAAAAUAAAAAGAUCACUGCGGCUAUAUAUUGCCAGGCCACAGGAGCGUCGGUGUCUUUUUCUUAAUGGUAAACUAAAAACAAAAACGCAAAAAACAGUAAUAAAGCAAUCAAGAACUGAGAUUACAAACUCUGUUUCAAUACCAAAUCCACAGCUUCAUUCAUUAUGCUCUCCAUUUCUUCUCAAUGAACUCACUUUCGUUACCUUUCCUUCAAACCCCUUAAAAACCAAGUAAUUAAACAAAUCAUGUUAAAACAAAAUCACAGGAAAAAAAAAAAAAAACGAUGGAAAGACAGAGAGAGAGAGACUCAAAAACAGAGUAAUGUGUUUUGCUUUUCACCUUUUAAUUUGAGAAAAUUCUUUGUCUGUAGAGAGAGAAGGAGAGAAUAGUUUUAACCUCUCUCUCUCUAGAAUCUAUAAGCGGCAGCUUCUUCAAGUGCAAGAUUUCUUUUUAUGUGUCUGUACAUUCUCUCUUUCCUACAUUUUUUUAAUUUUUUUUUUCAUUUGGGCAGUUCAGUACGUAAGUAGCUUGAUGUUGAUAAAUUGUUCGCAUGUUCUGUCUUUUCCUUUUAUUUUCUUCCUUGUAAACUAAUCUAGAAUUUCAGUGAAAACAACCCUAUUGUAAAUAAUUGUAUCUACACUACUGCAUUAACUGAAGUAUCUCUGCAUGGCAAGGCCGGCUCUUUUGCCCUGAAGCCAAUGCAAUGAGGAAUUGUUUGGGGCUCCAUUUUGUAUUAAAGAAGAUGAUUUUUCUUACGUGUGAAACAAAAUAUUCAGGACGAGUGUGAGGAAAACAUAAAUCACAACAUUCUAAUUCAAUUUAUGCAGCGGGUGCACUGUGGAUUCAGUUCUGAUAUUUGUGAUGACUUUUUAUAUGUAUUAUUGUGAUGGGUGGUUAUUAGAUAAAAAAAUAAUAUUUAAAUACGCACGGAAUGGUAUAAACUUGGAUCCAAAUUACUAAUAAGCUUAAUCGGUAUAAUCUUUUGGGAUGACAUAAAAAGCCUAAAGUUCAAACUCUAUUCAUGUAGGUGAGGAAGAAACUAAAUUAUUGCCGAACCAAUUAAACAUACAAUCUACUAGAAAAUAUGUACUUGAACUUACUACCCACUCGAAGAGUUAAAAGGCUUUACGUGAGAUUGUAGUUAGAAAUUCAGCAACUCAUAAGGUUAUUAGAGGUUACAUAAAGUUAUGUGAAGAUGCUAAUUUGGUUAGGUGUGCAGGGAUGGCAAAACGAACAACUGAAUCCAAUUCAAAUCAAAUUGUAAAUGAAUUGGAUCAACAUUCUAUUGAUUCAUAUUUGAUUUUCUUAUUAAACGAAUUGAAAUUUUAGAAUUGAAAUUUGAUUUGUUUAUUAAAUAAAUAUUUGGUUUGAUUUGUUUAAUUUAUUUAGUAAAAUUAAUAAAUGAAUUGAAUCAAAUCUGGAUCCGUUUACUAUUGUUUACAAAAAUAUAAUUAAUGAAUAAAAAUUAGGUAAAAUAAAAUAAAAAAGAUCACAAAUUUAACAUUCGACAAAAAUAUAAAUAAUCCAAACCAUAUUCUAAGAUUAAAUAUAUAGUCAUCCAAACACCAAAUUACAAAUUCUUAAUAAUACAAAUAAUAUUAAUUAAAAUUCAAAAUAUAAACCUAGGUGAUUUCUUUAAUUCUGUUCGUUUUGUCUUUGUCACCUGAAAACAAGUCCUACAAGAAAAAAUUAAAUAGAAUGAUAUUAACAUGUUGCAACACUAAUAAGAGUCAUUGUAACAUUUCAAAGUAUCAAUCAUAUACCAAAUUUUGUAGUAUUGAUAAGAAAAUAAUAAUUAAAUCUACAAAGGCAAGAAAAUCCAGCAAGAUAAAACUUUCCCUAUCACACUCCCACAUUGUCACGAGCAUCAUUGGCACUCUCUUGAGAUCGAGCACUAUUAGUGCUCAUGUUCAUAAUGUUUUCAGUAAGUUAGGCCAAAAUGACAUCAAAAUUUUCUACAGUAAGGGUGUGUUUGGCGUAUUGUAUUGUAUUAUAUUAUAUUGUAUUAUUUUAAUACAUAAUUAUUUAUUAUACUGUAUUACAUUAGAAUUAUAUUAUAAUAAUAUCGUACAGCGUUUGAUACUCCAUUGUGCUUAUUAAUUUUUAAUUAUAUUAUGUUUGGUGUUGCACUGUAUUGUAUUAAUCUUUUUUGGUGAUUAUUUUAAAUUAUAUAUUUAGAAAAUAAUAUUUAUUAGUACAAUACUUAGGAAAAUACUAAAUAUAAAAAAUUUGGAUUUUGGAAUUUUUACAUUUUAAAAAAUUUCGAUUUUUAUGGUCUCGAGUUUCUUGGAGGCUUUGUCUGCGGAGGAUCUGAGGAAUUUGAAAGAGUUGGUUUGGUAAAGGAGUGGCUUAGCAAGUUCAUCGAGAGCCUCUUGAAAUAUAAGUGUGCAACCCAAGAGGGGGGGUGAAUUGGAAAUUUAAAAAUUAUCCUAGCAAAUCCACACAACAAGCAAUCUAAUGUCUUAAUAAAAAUUGAAAGCAAUAAGUUCAAUAAAGGCACAAUAAUUAAAAGAGUAAGGGAAGAGAAAAACGAACACAAUGAUUUUUACGUGGUUCGGCUAUCCCCGCCUACGUCCACGCCUCCAAGCACACCGGGCUUGAGGAUUUCACUAUCCAAGCCUUUCCAAGGCUUCAACAAUUACAAUUGACUUCGAGGUGUCAAUAAACCUUUACAACAAAGAGAUUAUCUCCCAAUCUCUUCACUUAAGUGUCUCACACACUCAAACUCUUACAAAUGAAAUGAAGAAAUGAAAGUUACAAUCAAACUCACUCAAUGAGUAGAUAUUCAAAGAUGAAGAACAAUGAAUGAUUCAAUGUUUUGUGUUUUGCAAGUUGUAAGCUCAAGAUAUCAUGUGUGCCUUUUGUUUUUGCUUGUUGGAGAGCUUCAAAAUGAGUUGGAUUUGAGUUCUUAUAGCUUGAGCUCGAAAACUAGCCGUUACUCACAUUCUGGGCUAUCCGGUUUGCCGUUUUACGGAAUCCGGUAAGCCGGAUUUAUGUUACCGUUAAGGCAAAAUUUUGAAUUUUGCCUAACCGGCUUGCCGGAUUCGGAAUCCGGUAAGCCGUUUUCGUUCUGGGUGCUUGCUGCCCGAAUUCGGUUUACCGUUUAUCAGUAUCCGGUAAGCCGCUUGCUACAGUAACAUGCUACAGUAAAAUAUUUCCCGAAAUUUAUAGUUUGACCUCAAAACUUUAUAAAACUGUAGUAUGACCCAAAACGUUAUAAAAAUUUGCAAAUAGGUCCAAUUUCAGAAUUUUAAAUAAUGCUUUCUCAAUCCCACAAUUUUUUGAAAUUAUGACUUCGCCCAAACUUUAUGAAAUUAUAGAAUGGCCCAAAAACAUUUAAAUAGUUUCAAAUACGUCCAAAUCCGAAAUUGAAAAUACUAUUAAAGAUUUUGAAAUUACUUUCAUUUUAGUCCAAAAUGCUUUAAUUCCAUAACAUCAUUUUCUUAUAAUAAAAGCACAAUUCAUAAAUCUUUACUUAAUAAAUACAUGUGGUUUGUUAUCAUCAAAAUCAAUAUUUAUAGCCAUAUAGGCUAACACCUCUGUCUUACCUUCUUCCUCUUGCCCUGCCAUGCCUCUGCAAUAGUGAUUGUUUCAUAUGAGACACAAAUGAUAGGGAUAACUUUGCCUCAAAAUAAUUACAAUUUACAAAUCCGCAUAAACCCGACUCCCCCGUGGGUUUAGUCUAUGCGGGUUUGACCGCAUAAAUUAGAUAUUUGACUACAUUACAAUACUAUGCAUUAAGGGCGUGUUUGGUAGCCUGCAUUAUAUGGGAUAAAAACACUAUUUGUAUUCAAUUUAAACAAGCUCACGUUUGGUGCUAAAAGUAGCUACAUCUACACUGUAUUAAUGGGCUGUGCUAAUGCAGCAGUUGUAGCAUUAGCUUGCCUCUUAUUAUUUUUUUUUUCAAUUUUCUUAAUAAUAAUAAAAAUAUAUAUAAUAAAUAAAUAAAACAUUUGAAUUUUAGUAUUAUAUUAUAUAAUAUUAAUUUUUAUUUUUAUUUUUACAUUAUAAUUUAUUAGUAAAUUUAUAAUUUAAUAUAAUUAAUAUUAUUAUUACUUUGAAUAAUAAUAUAAAAUAUUAUUACAUAUACUACAGAACUUUUACUUGGAUUAUUUAUCACAAUUCAUUUUGUUAGUGAAUAUGUUAUAACAAUUAUAUCACUUUAUUAUUUUGUUAUCAUCUUGUGGUGUGUAUAAAUUUUUAUUUCGUUAUCCUAAGAUGACUUUUGAACUAAUCUUCUAGGUUUUAACUAUUUAUUUAUGUUGUUAUAUUACUAGAGAUUAUUUGAUUAAAUUAUUUGCUUCAAUCUUUAUCUCACAGGUCAUAUAUUUAGAAAAUACUGAAAAAUAAAUGUAAUGCUUUCGAAAAUUUAAGGUUAUAAGCUUUGAUCUUUAUGAAGAAUUAUGAUAUUUUUUAACAUUUACACUAAAAAAAUUGUUAAAUUUAAAAAAUUUAAGAUUUCUGUAUUUAGUAUUUUUCCAAAUACUAAUAAAUAUUAUUUUCUAAAUAUAUAAUUUAAAUUACUCAAAAACAAUUAUUACAGUACAAUAUAACACAAAAUAUAGUCUAAUUGAAAAUUAAUACAAUACAUGUAGCACCAAACAUUGUACAACAUUAUGGUAAUAUAGUACUACUGCAAUAUAACAUUAUAUAAUACACCAACAUUAAAAUAAUAUAAUAUAACAUAAUACAAUACAGUGUGCCAAACGCACCCUAAAAUUACAAAAUAUGGCAUAAUAAUCCUUUAAUACUUUGAGGGGUUUUAAUACCAUAUAAUGAAGAGUACCAAACAUGCCCGAAUUUAAAAAAAAUAAAUCUUAAUUAGAAACAAGUGAAUAUAAUAUUAUAAAAAAAAUUAAUUAAUUUCAUUAGCAACUCUUACCAAUCUCUCCUAACAUCUCAAUCUCUGAUAGUAAUAAUUGCUUGGACAAUCUUUGAUUUCAAUAAACUUUAAAAUUGAUCAAGAACUUGACUGCCAGCACUAAAAACCGAUUAAGAUGCAACAUGGAUAUACGAAUGCUUAAGAUAUCACGAGCCAUGGAAGAAAGGUUAGGAUAACAAAAUUUGUUUCCUUUAAAAAGAUUUAGAAUGUUUAAAUCAAUCUUUCUAUAUAUUCUUGGUUCAUCCAAAUAAAACUCUAAUUCAGAUUUUCUAACAUAGGCAUUACAAUCCAUGCUAUUAAGAUCAUCAAACUCCUACAAAAUAAUUAAGAGAUAAGAAUUGUCAAAAUCCAAAACAAGUACAAAUAAGGAAAUAAUAAUUUUUACAAUGAACAGAAAAGAAAAUUGUAAAUGUACCUUGAAUAGUUCCAUGGUCCAUUGGUUAAGUGUAUUCUGACUAUUAUCAUUAUGUCCCACACUUGAACCAAUAUCACUCAUUUGAAUGAGUAUGGAUGUGGUGGAGAAAGAUAGUGUGAUAAAAUUUUACUCACUAAAAACUGAAAACAACUUAUCAUGAACAUGUUCUAACUGCUUUGAAUUUUGAUCAUAAGCAUUGUCGUAGGCAAACUUAAUGAAUGCCAUCCUGUAUCGAGGAUGCAAGAUGACCACAAUUGCCAAAAUGGUACAAAAAUCAAACCAAUACUUCUCAAACUUUUCGAUAAUUUUGAUUGCCAUAAUUUUCAUAUAUACAUCCUAACUAUGCAAUAAUUUAUCCAAAACAACAUUACAUGCAAACACCUUAGGAAAAUACAAACUUGAACUGGGGUAUUUUGACUUGGAAAAAAUGCAUAUGAUCUCAUAAAACAUAGACAAGAAUUUGCCAGUUUUCAUUUUUCUCUAGUCUUCUUCGGAAGAUAACUCUUAUAAUUAGAAUCACUCAAUUGUCAAUGACAGCAAACAUUUUUGUUAUGCAUAACACUAUCAAUUAUAAGAAAAGUUGAAUUCCUUCUUAUAGGAACAUCUUGUCUUAAUCUUUUCUUGUCAUCUAGAGAUACUUAACACACUCGAAGAAUUUUUUUUCUCAUAUUUGACCCUUUGACAUAUUUUAUACUCUCAUGGGCAUUUUCUAUUUCUUCCUCAACUUAUUUCAAUCCUUUUUGAACAAUCAAUAUAAUAAUAUGAGGACAACUUCGAAUAUAAAAGUAAAUCCCCAUCACACAUUAAAGGAUUCUUUAAUCUCAGUUGACUUUUUAACAUUACAACACUAAUAUCGUUACUUGUUUAGAGUCAUUGAAAAAAAAAAUCUUUUUUUCUCAAUAUCCCAUUCACACAAUAAUGAUAAUAUUUUCGCAGCCAAGGCAACCACAGUGUGUGGAGUUAGCAUUUUAGAAAAAUUAAACAUUAUUUUUUGUAAAUUCUAUCCUUUAUCAACGAAAGUGUUAUUAAUUCGGUCAAUUUUUGUCAAUCCAAACUUGACAAAUUCAUCUAGGAUAUUACGACCUCUAGCUUUGCUCAAAUUCUAGACCCAAUGUGAUUGAGAAGUCUAUGAAAUUGGCUGAAAAUUCUUUCCUUCUUUUUUUUAAAAUAAUUUUGAAUAGUUGUCAUAUUCUACACUUCUUGACCACGAGUUUAACAAAAUUAACUAAAAAACUGCCAAAUCACUUUAGAUUAUCUAUAUUUAUCCAUGCACUAAUCUAUCAUGAUUCAUGGAUAGCAUGUGCAAAUAAAUAUUAGGGAGUUAGUCACUCUACUUCCGUGAUAUAGUAAAUACAGACUAUAUGAAUAAAUCUUAAGGAUUUAUGCAAGUCUGUGAUUAUUUUUUAACACGAAAAAAAGUUUGUGUCAAAAAAGGAGCAUGUGUAUCUUGAAAAUGGAUUGGUAUGACCAUUUAUUAAAACAAAGAGAUAUCUCUCGCCAUUUCCUUAACCUGAGGAGUAAGGAGGUAUUGUUAUUCUUUUUCUUAUAUAUUAUUUUAUUAUUUUUACUAAAAAUUUAUAGUGCUUAGAGUUUUUCUUUUUGAACUGUGAAGCCAUACUUAGUGAAUUGUUGGGGAAGAUUAAUUUACUCAAAAGAAUUUUUUUCUUUAUUUAGGCAUAUAAUUGCAUUUAAUCUAGUAUAUAAUCUACUUAUUUAAAGUAAUUUAUGUGAUGAAAAUAUAAUUAUUGUAUUUCAUUUAACGCUCAUCAUGGGUGCAAAUCAAAAGCAUUAUUGAGGGGGCAAAUAAAACAUUUGCUUGAAAUUUAAAAUUAAUAUUCUAGAAAAAUAAUAUUUAUUAGGACAGCUGCCGCCCUUGCUGGUCCCUAUCUAUGUCUCAAAAUUUUCAUUGCGCGAGCAGAAAACAUUGGAAAGUAAUUUAAGGCAUAGGUUUGUUGUAUAUAUAUUAAUCUCAAGAAAAUGAGUAAUUAAUAUGUGAACAAAUGUUUAAUGAUGACCACUUAAGGAUCUAUAUUUGACUUAUUUUGGUUCUUUUUUUUAUUAAUUAAUUUAUAAUUUCUGGGAUAUUAUAUGAUAUAAGAACUGACUGUAUCAUACAAUAUCUGUAAUGCCUUUUUAAUCAGAUAAAUGCAAGCAAAUUCUAUUAUAGCUUUCUGAUUACUUUCGGAAAUUGCAGGUUACAUUUUCCAAAUUAUUAAAAACAAAAUCAAACACAGAAAUUGAAAAGCUUUCAUAAGUAGUUUUCAAGUAAUUUUAUUUAAUGGUCAUUCAAAUUUCGUAAGUAGUUUGCAAGUAGUUUAUUUAAAGGUCAUCCAAAUUCCAAUUCUGAGAAGAUAUGAGGCUAAAAUUUCAAUCUGAAUUUUAUCCACCACCUCCCUAGUUCUUAGAAGAUAUAUUAGAAAAAAAAAAGGUUAAAAACUUUAAUAAACAGGUGGAGAAAUAUAUUACUCUUAUUAUGGUUUGUAUCAGGACCGUUGGCCCCAUAGUACUUAAACCCAUCUCUUACUAUGGUCUGUAUCACAAGUAGUGGCCGUAUAGUACUUAAGCCCAUCAUAUUGUUUUUUGAAACACAAAAUGUAAAACUGAAAAACAGAACCCAGAUGGGCAAAUAUGUACAUCAGAUAUGCAAUCAUAACUCUUUCAGGAUGAAUUGCAUAAUUACUUGUGGACUAAGGGCUUAUAUCUGCAAUCUCAGCAUAUGUUCCAUGUCUACGAAUGUGUCAUGUAUGACCUGCAUCAGACGGAGUAGGAUUGCUGAAUUGCGUCGAUAUCCAGUCCUUUAAGCCUAAUCAGUGAUUCGACGUGCCCUUUCAGUGUACGCAGUUCUCUCAAUCUGCAAAAAAUCAAAAUAUUGAAUGCAUAAGAGUGUACACUCCAAGCAUUAAAUUUCGGCUUUUAAGAGUAGAAAUGAAGUAAUGCAGUUUGUUGGCGUUAUAUUUAUAUUUUUACCUAGCAAUCUCAGCUCUUCUUCUUGCUUCUUCAGCCAUCCAGCUAAGUUCUCCGUAACUGCUUCGUACACUGAACAUACUGGUGUCAGGUGGUUGCAACCCAUGUAGGGUUCUCUGCGCGUGUGCCCAUAGAAGCUCACGUUCUUCCUUUCCGAAAUCAUUUUUAGACGUGAAGGCAGUCUGCAAAAUAGCAAUUACAGUAUCGAGGGUGAACAAGAAAUUAAGCUCCAGUACUUGAAUAAACUCUGUUGAACUCAAGCCAUCAAUACCCUUUGUUUAGUGACAAGAUCCCAAAAAUUCCUGCUAAGCACAUAUCGGAUGAAGAACUUUAUAAAAUCAAGCGGAAUGUAGAAGAUGAUAUUAUAAAGCCAAAUCACACCAGCCCAACCCCAUCCUAUUCCUUCAAUUGUAGCAAAGCUCCAGGUUGCAUAGACGGCAAUCAGUGUAGCAGUCUGCUCACAGAAUUAAAAAGGAUCAACCCAUCCUCUGUAUGUCAGAAAGGCGAAAGAAAACAGCAUAAAUCACUCACCAGCUGAGCAACAAAGAAAGCCAGAGCAAGGAACAGGACAGGACACUCGACGUAAGACCAACUCCUUGCACGGGUCACGAAUAGGUGAGCCUGACUAAUGGAACUCACUUGCAGGUACACUGCCGAGACAAGUUUUCUCCAGUUGUCCACAUCCUUUUCGUUAAGACUUGAAACGCCAAAUGUACGCUGAAUGUUGCAUAGUGAGUUUCAGUCCAACUUAUUGAAGACAAUGUAAAGGCAUAUAUUAUUCUCUAUAAUAUUAAAUCAAGGAAAACGAGCAUACAUAACACCCGAAUUGGGUGACAUGAUAACACAAAAGAUAAAUCACAUUACUGGAAAGAAGUCUGUCUGGUAUGCUGUCCAAAAGAAAAUCACAGUCAUCAUUGCCAAGUAACCACCAAGAAUGCUUCCAGUUACAAAGAUCUGGAUCAAAUUCCACCUUUCUGGAUGAGGAGAUGGUCUGACUCUAUCUUUUGAUAUUGUCAUAAUAAUAGCACCUGGCAAUCAAUGUACCAGGUAAAUAUCAAUAGAUAAGUGUAUUUCUUAUUUGAAAUCGAUACACCUGGAUGAAAAAGAAUGCAAACAGUUACGAUAUACAUGCUGAGUCAAGGAAAUACACACCAUCAUUAAGAAUAGCAAUUAUCAGCACCAUGAGGGGUGGAAAGUUAAACUGCCAGAUAAGAGCUAGCAGCCUGAAAGCAAACUGUCACCAAGAGAAAUAGUUAAGACGUCAAGCUGAGAUAUUCAAGCUACUAUUGUGAAGACUCUUUCAUAUUCAUCAGUAGGGCAAUAAUUACCAUAGAAGAUUAAAGUUGCAAUUUACCAAAUAAAUUACACAAUACUCUCCUACAUAGUAUUUGAAACAAGCAGCGAACAACUUACUCCAAUAUGGAUGGUAAUGGAGACUGCAUAUAUCUGCGACAAGAAAGAAAUUAAUUAAGCACCAAAAAGUGGGGACAGAGCAAGAAGGAAUCAACUAAUUCAAGUAAACAAUGCUCGUGUCUUGUUUCAAUUUUGCAAAAGUCUGAGACAGUGUAAAAAAGUUACCAAUGCCCACAAAAAUCAAGUUUUCAUGAACAGCACCACUGCCAAUAUCUUGGUUUAUUAUAUUAUUUAUUAUUUUCGACCUCAGGCUCUAACAGUAAUUUACAGAACAAUGACAUGUUAUUUCAAUCUCAGUGCUUUCUUCACCACCAGGCACUCAAGCAGUGUAAAAUGUAAGCUUUAAAAUUAUUAGUUUGUUUGUAGGUUAAGGAAUGUGGAAUAUAUAGAAUUAGAUAGGUUGUGAAUUCCCUCACACAAAUCCCAUCCUUCACUACACUAUCGACUGUAGAACACCUUUUCCUUAGAAUCAAAACCAACCCUCACCAUGUAAUUUCUCAUCCUCUGGAAUAUUGCUCGACUAAUUAGAACGGCAGUAAUGAUAACAUUAAGGCCAGGUUCUGUCAGGACAAUGUCGGCAGCACUACGAGCUGCAUCAGUUGCAUCAGCAACAGCUAUGCCAAUGUCUGCUUUCUUUAGAGCAGGAGCAUCAUUGACACCGUUACCAAUCAUUCCACAUAUAUGGUUCGUAGCUUGCAAAUGCUUCACAAUCUCAUAUUUGUGCUCUACAAAGAAA